AAGCUUUGGUGAACGUUACCUGUCCACCGUUCUUUUCCAGUCAAUCCGAGAAGAGUGCGAGAAAAUGCAACCUGUGCCGUGAAAUAUUCUGCUGUUUUGAAGCCACCAACUGAUAACAAAACGUUGUUAGAAGCUUUCAUUGUGCUUCACCAUGGGGAUGUUUUGAGCUUGUUUUAAUUGUUAUUGCGAAAUAGAAAUGUUUUGUUUUCUAUCUCUACAUUUUACAGGAAGAAAUUGUGAACACGGAUGUAAAUCUUUAUCUAGCAAUGGUGAAAUAAACCCCUGGAAGAUUUAUUUAUGGUGCUAUUAUAAAGCAAAUUCAGCUUAUGUAAUCAAGGGGAAUCCCAUUUGGGGUUGUAAAUUUCUGUUUAACCAUUUAUACGUACCUUACAGUCUGAAUUCACUAUUGUGAUUCAUUUUUCUGAUUGCUAAUUGGGGUGGGCAUAAAUUAUUGAUCUGAUUCCAAAGGUCCCACCUUAUUCCAUAUUUGAUCCAACGGUCUCGAGGAAAUCAGCAAUUAUUCCAACAAAUCUAGCCGUUGAACAAUCUUCAAUCUCCAUUUUUCUCAAGUGCCGUUGCUUCUAACGGUCAUAAUGCUAUCGAGUAAAAUGCAUAACUUAUCGGUAUAUUUGGGAUAUAAUUAUUAAUUUUAAGUAGGUUGUUUGUUUUUAAAUUUAGACUUGAUUAUUAGUAAAAUGACUUAAUAGUUUUGGGAUUAUAAUUAUAAUUCCAAAACUUCUAUAAUUAUAAUUAUAAUUCUAGGAUUAAUUGUUUUGCGAUUAUAAUAUAUGUAAACAAACAUAAUUUUAGUAUAUUUGGAUAUAGUGUACCUUUUUAUUAGUUAAUGCAAAACAAGCCCUCUACAAUAGAAAAUUUUGAAUAACAAACAUUUUAUGAUGACAUGCAAGUAAGUCAAAUUAAAACUAAAAAAUUUGUUUCCGUCAAUGUUCGAACUUAAAACCUCAAUCUCAUAACCUUAACAAAGGUUCCAACAAAGUUGAAUGAUAUAUUUGUAAAUGAGACUAUAUAUAUAUAUAUAUAUAUAUAUAUAUAAUUAGAAUUUUGUCGGAAAAGCACAAGAUCGGUUCAGAUUCAUUCUAAUUUUUAGAUUGUUAAAACAAAGAAAGAGGGAGGCACGGAGAGAGAUGGAGGAUUUCGUUACGCCGUGUCUUCAGGUACGUGCAAUUACUAGUAUAUAUAUAUAUAUAUAAAUAAGUGGGUAAACUCCUUCUGUGCUUGAUAAAUAUUUUGGAUAAAGGAGUCAUAGUGUUUAUGAUUAGUCAUAACACCAAAUUUAUUUAUUAUUUUUGGUAAACUUUUUAUAUUAUUUUCCCUCUAACUACAUAAAUUUGAUGUUAUGACUCUAAUCAUGGUUUGAGCAAAUACAUAGUUGAAAGAAUUACUACUCUUGUAAGAAUACAGAGAGAGAAUGUGGACGGGCAUGUGGUUUUUAAGGGAGUGGUUAGCAUGAAGUUAAUUUUGGCCAAUUGAUCAAUACAGUGUCGACACACAUGCCGGGAGAUAACCUCUCUCUACGUGUCAGCACUGUAUUGGUCAAUUGACUAACUUACUAUGAAGUUAACUUCAUGAUAACCGGAUCUGGUUUUUAACACUUUAAUAAAGUGGUAUUUUUUUUUCUUCUAAAUAAUCUAGUGACCCUUUAGAUGAUAAAUAUUUGUUGUAUAUUUUUAGUUAGUUUUAAAAGUGAUAAUGCAACAUAAAUAUGUAAUUUUGAUGUAUAAAGAUGUAUGUUAGGUUAUUAGCUUUUGCAUAUGUAUAAUUUUAUGAUUUUGGAGGUUGCAUUGCAUACUUAUGUUUAAACCUCAUACUUUUUUUAUGUAUUUAGAGAAAAAAUUAUAAACAAAGUUUACCCAAAAUAAUAAAUAAAUUUAGUGCUAGGAAUCUAAUCAUACAACAUUAUAUACCUUCUUUGAAGUAUUUAUCAAACACCGAAAGAGUUUACUCACUUAUUUAUAUCUCUUUUUUUAUAGUUUAAAUGGAGAAAUUUGUAUAAAUAUAAUUUAUAUCGUCAAAUUUACAAUUAUGACAUGUAGUUUGGUUGGAUAAUUCCCUAAGGUUAUUGAAUUGAGAUAUUAAGUUUGAAUUUUGACCAAAACAAAUUUUUUAAUCUUAGAUUGACUUAAUUACAUGUCAUCAUUGUCACGGAGGAUAUUCAAUGUCCAGCUGAAGGUUUCUUAUCCAAAUUUUUCUAUAGUAGAGGGCUUGUUUUACAUUGAUCAACAAAAAAGGGCACAAUAUUCAAAUGGGCAAAGUUGAAAGAAAGCCACUAUUGUUUACCUCGAAGUCCUACUUACACCCUCAACUUUUUUUUUCUCCAAACGUGACGUGUUAAAAUUAUGUACUGCAAGUGCACAUUGUCGAAUUGAAGAACUGACAAGUACAGGUCGAACCCACAAAGACUAUACUAAUUUUAACGUAUCCUUAAUAUCUAUUUUAGGCAAAAUAGAAAUAAAGAUUGAAAAUUGAUUAACUAGAAUAUGAAAACUAAUGAGGAAAUAAUCUAGGAAUCCGAAUUCAUUAAAUAAUAAACAUAACAUAUAUAUAAUUCAAUCUCUUCUAUUUUUAUAACUUAAUUAUGAUUUUGAUCUCCAUUCCUUUUAAUUUAGUAAUUUUACAAUUAACGUGGGGAAACAUAGACUGAAAAUUUAAGGAUUAACUAUAACCCAUCAAAACUUCUUUGAGCAAACAUGGAUUAUGAAAAACUCAUUUUUUAACAAUAAUCUAUCAAAACUUCUUAAUUAAUUUAAAAUCACAUAAGAAUUAUAAAAUGAAUGUAUUUCAAUAACGAAACAUGAAGGCAAAAUCAAUUAAACAUGAAUUCAUAAAUAAUAGAAAAGAUGAAAAAUAUUAUCAAGAAUAAUUAUUUAAUUUCAUCUUCAUCCUAGAUGAAAGAAAUUAGCUAGACAUGGAAAAUAAUUAAACUAACUAAAAAAAAAAUAAUAAGAAGAAAAUUCUCUUUAAUUAAGGAUCAUCCAACGAACGUACAAUGAAAAAGUAAUUUAAUCUACUCCUACUCCUAACCUAAACUAAUACAAUCUCCUAAUGCCCCUUCACUCUAAAACAAGAGACCUAUUUAUAGGGAAAAUAAAUUUAUGCCCUAAUUUAGAUUCAUUGAACUUGGACACUUUUGUUCUUUUUUUUCUCUUCUUGACUUCAAUAUCUAUAUGGUAAUCCUCCAAGAGUCAUUUUCACUCUAUAAAAGUUGGAUAUAAAUCCUUUAUUUGCUUCCCAAGAAAAAUAAAUGUCAUUUUCUACAAAAUAAAAUAAAAUGUAUUAGUUAAAUAAAAUAAACAUAUAAAAUAAUAAAUAUGGGAAUAUUAAAAUGUAUUAAUUAUGUGUCUAUCAGUACACUAGACGUUAUAAAUUUUAGGUCAAUUGUGCCCCUGCCUCUUACAUAUAUGUCACUUACACUAAUUUCGCGUACACCUGAAUAUUUUUCGCUAAGGAGACAUGAAUAUAUAUAGAACAAAAGGGGUAAAAAGCCCUAAUCCUGCCAUUCUUUUCUUUAGUAGUAGAGAGGAGAAAAAAAUUAAGCCCUAAUAGUUGAAUCGGUUCUAAACCCUCGAAAAAUCGUCAUCACCAUCCUUUUUGAAACUGGUCGAAGAAUUGCCAUGGCUUACAGAUCGUCGUCGUCGUCAUCAUCCUUUACUCGAAGACGCGCCAUUGAUGUUGAUUACGAAGUUAUGCCAUUGUGUUAUUGUGGGUUAAGAUCUCUGUCAGGAAUAAACAUGUGAAUGAUAAUCCUAUUUAUAUAUGAUUUGAUUAUGAUAUAUAUAUAUAUAUAUAUAUAUAUAUAUAUAUAUAUAUAUAUAUAUAUAUGAAUGAAUAUGCAAGUAUGAUUGCAUUAAGAAAAGCUGUAAAGUUCUUUGAUAGAUAAUAGAAACAUAUGUACAAGGACUUAGAAUGAAUUGAUCAAAUGUGUUAAGUUGAUCCUACAUAAGCAAAACAGCUUUGUAAAGUCCUUAAAAAGAAAUGAUGUACAAGGACUAUAAAUAUAGAAAGAUCAAGCAUGUUAGGUUGAUCUUAUGAUGUAAUAGAUAGGCUUGUCUGAUCGUCGAGCACUGCACCAGAAAUCGUAGUCUGCCAGGAGAGUCAAGGAAAACUCGAGAGCUAUCGAGGCAGAAUCGUAGUCUGCAAGAUAGUAGAUCUUAAAGUUCGUAGACUUCUAGGAGAGACGAGGAAGGAUCGUAGUGUGUCGAGGAGAACUUUCUCAGGGCCGUAGUCUGCUGAGGAAGUCAUGUUCAGAAUCGUAGAGACAGCCUGCCUACGAGCCGACCGAGUAUCUGCCAAAGCUAAGUCAAGAAUCGUAGACUACACUCAGAGUUGUAGAGUCUACUAAUCAUACCAAAGGCAGAGAUCGUAGUCGAGCAAGAUCAGAUGAAGAUAACAAGCACAACGACAGAAAUCGUAGUGUCAAGAUCUGAUCUCAGUCAUAGUGUCUGCACAGCCAAAGCUGAAUCCUAGAGUGCAGAACUAAGACCUCAACAGAGGUGCUCACAAUGCCAAGGCAGAAUCGUAGAGCAAAUACGAUUCUCAACUAAUGUGCACUCCCAGAAUAUCCAAAGGAAUGCAGCCUCUGGUUGGCACUGCAUAGAUACGUCCCACCUGAAGGAAACCAGAGAGCACUCAAAAAAUGGCAUGCAAGCUAACAGAAGAUCUAAGUACCAACCCAAUCAGCAUCAAGAUUGAGUUGUGAAGCCAUUCGAGAUGAAGUCUUCCACAAGGAGAUCAGAAGAAGACUUCUGUAACUGACUAAGAAAUGUCAGCAAGUGCAGUAGCUGUCAAGCAGACGGAAGAUAACGAUCUUGGAAGUUACCAGGAUUAUAGUGUUUGCCAAACAAAGAAAGAACUGAUGGAGUGCAUAUAGAGAUACUGGACAGCUUCUGAAGAACAAGACUAAAGUGAUUAAGCAUUGGGUCAAUCCAUUGAUGAUAAGUGAACGGGAGAUCACAAGGAGAAAGCGAGCUGGACACGCCACAAAUUUGAAGUGUCUUGUUAUUCAGAAGGGGCCAGAGCAAGAAGUCAAGCCAUCAGUAUCUGAGAGCUGUUGAGGCAAACAGAAGUGUUGAAGCACUGCACAAGAGAAGGAAGAGGUGUUCUACAUUGAAGAUCAAAUCAACACUCUUCAAGAUCGUAGUGUUGUCUCUACCAGUCAACAAGACACUACGAUCAGGUCCAUGAAGACAUGCAUCAGAAUCGUAGAGUUCGAAUAGCUGAAGACUGAAGCAUUGGCAACGGUUCAAUCUGAAGGGUAAUAUUCGGACAAGAGCUUAUUGAGAGCAUCGAUGCAAGGACAACCUCUGAUCGAGAAAUCAGAAGGGUGAAAUAAAGUCGUCGACCUGCCCAAGAUAUCAAAGUGACAUAUCUGACAGGGUUGGUGAAACAGUAGACUGCAGUGUCAGGAAGUCAGAAAAAGAUGUCAUGUCACAUCUGCAGUCUGCACCAAAUAACUCGAGAUCUGCGAAGAAAUUUGAAUAGCUUUCAACGGCUACUUUCCAACGGGAAGAUUGGGAAGCAGUAUAAAUCAACAGAGCUUCAAAGAUCAAGAGUUGCUGAUGAUUGUGAAGUUGCAGAAUCGUUGAGUUGGUGAAUGCUAUUGUUGACUCUACGAGUUCCACCAAAGAUCAAUAGAACAAGUCUCAGUGACACUGAGACUAUCAAGGUGGAAGUGAAGCAGCUUUGAAGAAGGAAUCAAACAGAUCGAAGCUUCACUCAACAAAGAUGAGAAUGCCACUGAAGAUGGCAGCCAAGCUGAGAGCCGAGAAGGCCAAGAAGAUAGCAUUCAGGAAAGUGGCUAAGUACAAAGAAGAUCAAGAGAGCCACUCUACGAAUCACCAUGAACCGAAAGCUGAAAAUGAACAAGUGCAGAACCAUGUCUGCAAAGUAUUCAAGAAGGGUUCAGGAAUUGCUAAGUGCCAGACAAAGUCUACUAAAAGCACAGAGACUUAUCAAACCCAGAUGGUGAUGGUGCACAGCUGAUACCAGAUGAAGAUGAGCAGAAAAGAGUGAAGAUCAGCUGCACCAAAGAAGAUGUGGUCCAGACUCGAAGCAGAAUGCAAAGAGGACCACACCAAGCUGCUAAGUACAAAAGAUGUUUAGAGCUUAAUGACAUCUUAGCAGCUCAGCACCACCACCAACAACAACAACUACAACAACAAGAAGCCAGGGCCUGAGGGGUCCUUGUCCGGAGGGACUAAAUGAAGUUCCAAACCUGCUGGGUUUGAAGAGUUUCUAGGGAACUAGAGAAGUUCCAAGGCUGCUGGCCUUGAAGAGUUCUUAGUGAACUGAAGUCCCAAGGCUGCUGGCCUUGAAGGAAUCUUAGUGAUUCAGGGUGUUGCCCUUCCUUAGUGAAAAUCCUACUAGUUGAAAGCAGAAGAGUGGAUUAAGAGCUUGAGUCUCUGAACCACUUAAAACCCCUUGUGUCUCUUACUUUAUGUCAUUUACUUUAUGUACAUUAAUUGCUAUAACUGCUAUGUAUGUCAUAACUGCUUAUCACUGAACUAACUCUACGAACAAUGUAUGUAUGAUUAUGAAUAUAUCAAUGGAGGGGAUCUUUUUACUUAUUCCGCUUUGAAAAGAUUCUUAUGUCUAUCACAUGCUAAAUUAUUAGCAAUACAAAAUAAACUGGAAAAGUAUUUUGAAAUUCUAAGGAUCUAUUCAGCCCCCCCUCUAGAUCUAUUGUGCCUACUAGGAACUAACAAUUGGUAUCAGAGCAGGUUCUCAUGCUACAUUCAAAAGCCAAUCGCUUUGAGUCUGAUACUAGGCACAAACAUUGUUCUAAACUUAGUAAGUCACUUGUUAUAUGCAGAUGAGCUCACACGUUGGAAAUAUUAUGUACAGGUAAAUGUGCAUAUACACCUGAAGAUGCUCAGAUUGGUUCAUAUCUUUGAUUAUCAUAUCAACAAGACCAAUCCCUGCUCAAUGUCAAUCUUGUUGUCUGAAGACCAGGAUAGAAAGCUCAAGAGAUAUCAACAGAAAAGAUUCAAACAUCCACCAGCCUGAAAAGAUGAAAAGGCCAUACAUGCUAAGUAAUACUUAUCCAGAAAAGAAAAGAAGAACUUCUCAAUCAUAUGUUUGGUCAAACUGCAGCUGGAUGUAAACCUUGUGAACUCAAGGAUGUCAAAGAAUUAGAGAUGCUGACACUCUCUUAACUUGUAUCUUCAAGACCACGACUGAUUGACUGAAGAUCAACUGGAGCAACUGGCUGUCAGAAGCAAAUGAGAAAAUGUAAGAGUCCAACUUAUUAUGAAUAAAAUUAAAUUUUUGCUAUUUAUUAUCUUGAAAUAUUAAGGAGUUAAUUUGAUAUAAUACUUUGGUUAUGGGUGAAAUGUGCAAAUUUUACAAAAUAAGCACGUGGUUAUAAAAUAUUCAUUUUUGUCGGGGAAUAUUCGUUUGGUCGUGGAAUAUUCUUGUUGUCGGGGAAUAUUCGUACGACGGCGCAGCCAUUCGUGGGCCUCAUAACAGAAUAACUGUUGGAUGAAGAAAAUGACAAGUUUGAGUUUUUAUAAAUAACGGCGUAGUUGUUACCGUUAACACUGUUGGAAUACCCGGUGGUUAAAAUACAGUAAUACGCGUGGUUCCACAGUAGCACACGGUAUUGCACAAUAUUUUGAAUUAUUGAUUCUUACGUAAGAAUGCACUACUCAAUAAUUGUUACAGUAAUUACUGUUCAAUAUUUUAUUUUAUUGAUUCAAUAAUUGCUGCGUUGAUAUUUUAUAUUAUUGUUGUUUCAAUAAUUGUCACUGCACAGUAUUUCCCAUUAUCAGAUCAAUAAUUCAUAUUAUUUGAAUAAUAUUAUUAGAUAGCAUUAUUGGCAAUGUCUAGAAAGUUCUGUCAAGGAGAGGUUUGGUCACCUAAUUGCGCGCCAGUAAGGAGAAAUCCUUAUUGGAAAGCCCCCUCUUUCCUGGGAACGGCCUGGUUGUCAUUAUUGUGAUUCUGUAAUAUUAUUUGUGAAUAAUUAUUUAUUGAUUUAUAUGAUAAAGAAAUAUUUAUUUUAUGUGGCUAUUAAUGUUGAAGUGUUUUAUCAGUAUUUUUGUCGGAAUAGAGGUAUUAAAAAUCAAAUCAGUGUUCUUGAGAUAUAUUGCGUGAGUUAUAAUUUUUAAUCCGACCGUUGGAUCGUUGUGAUUUUUAGAUAUGUUAUACAUAUAUAAGUUGAGUAUAUGUCCACAAAUUUUGAACUGUUAAAAAUGAAUGUAUGAUUUGUUAUGAAUUUUAAGAGGUGACUGAUUCGGAAAUUAUGUUAUAAAUGAUUUUUGGUGGAAAAUUCUAGAAUUGAGUGGGCCCCACUUUUGGUUGGUGAGAAAUGUGCUCAAAUUUUAUUUCAAAUGUGGUGGGUGGAAAUAGUAACAGGUAAAGCCAUCAGGUAGCAGGUUAAGUCUGCUUCGGCGUGCUAGCAUUUUCCUAUAAAUAGGUGCUUAGGUUAGAAUUGAAAAUCACAUCAGAAACAUAAGCUUUCUCUUUUUCUCUCUCUAUAUUAUCGAGCGUAUUUUGUGAGUAUUUAGAUACUUUAAGAGUUGCUAUUCAGUACAAGUUUCAUUCAGCAUCACUUCUGACCUUUUAUUCUGAAGUACUGUUUCUUUGAUGUAAGAGAUGUUAUUUUCUUCUUAAAUGAUAUUAUUUUCUUCAAUAUCAUUAUGCUGAAAUAUUGAUAUAAAUUUUAUUGUGGAAUUUUUACCUUUUUGUGUCAGGGUUACUAUUCACGUAUACGGCACUAUUCACGAAUACGACACUAUUCACCGAAAAAUGAAAUUUUCUCUUUUUCGUCCCAGAUGUCUUUUAUGGUUACUAUAUUUGAUUGUAUCCAUGUUUUGAUCUUUAUUUUUGAAUUCUACUUCACACUUGAUUAUUAUGGAGUAUUAUUGAAUUUGGAUAAACCGAAAUACGAAUCCCUGAUAUUUGUCCUUCUGUCUCACUGGAUUCGUUCUCUAAAAUGUUUUUCAUCAUCCUCAGUCCUUAAUAGUGAUACUUGAUGAAUAUAUUUGGCCUGUAGUGCAAGGAUGAAUGAUUACCUGAUGAAUAUCUUUGGCCCAUAGUGCAAAGAUGAACAUGUGUUGAGAUGAACAUGACCAACUGGUGAUACAAAUGAAUAUCUUUGGCCCGUAGUGCAAAGAUGAAUAUUUGAUUCAAGAUGUAUAUUGAUUGAUGUUACAGGGAUAAAAUAUUGAUGAUGGACUUUUAAAUUCAUAAAUGACAGUAGAUUUCAUUCUCUACUUAAAUCUUCUAAUGAAUUGUUGUUUCCGCUGCAGUUGUUGAUCUAAAACUUGUUGUCGAUUAUAUUCUAUCAGAUUUUUCCCUGUUGAAGACUAAGGAUAAUUUGUUGUAUAUUAUCUUAGUAGUAAUAUUCUUUACUUGGCUAGUUGAGCUCACCCUUUUCCUUUUUGUUCCAUUUUUCUUCUCAAGAAGCGAGAGCAUAGCAGGAACCAGUCGCGGUAUAGAGUGAUGGUCCUAGACAGUUGUUUUAGUAGUCCUCACUAUUUUUGUAAAAUAAUGCAUCAAUAAUUGUAAUGAGGACUUUAUUUGAGUGUUGAUAUUGUCUAGAAGACAAUAUUUGUAUUUAAACUCACAGUAUGUGUUGUCGUAUUUUGCACGACAAUUGUAAUAAUAAAGUUGUAGUUGUUUUAUGUACCAUGUAUUUGGCGACUCGGAAUGGGUGAUGUAUACCUAUUUCGGGGGCGUCACAGAAAACAUGCACAUCAAUGCCUAAACUCAGUAUGUCUAAGAUAAAUGACUGUUAUGAAACCAACAGCAAAAAGGUACAGUUACUCACUAAUAUAAAUAUGAGCAUCAUAUUUGCACCUUACUUAUGAACUAUAACAGUUUUCCUUCAAAUACUCAUAAUCUAUCUAAAAAGGUGAAGAGAGAAAGUACACUGAUGAUAGAAACUCAAAUGUCUAUAAACUUUCUCUCCAUCCAAGUUUUAGGUUGAAGAUGACAUCUUGAAAGAAAUCUGAAAUGGGUCAUAAGAGCAUCACAGGUUAAACUAAUUUUAUGUGAAGUAAUCUUUGCUGAUGGGUUAGUAUGUAUGUACAAACCUAUGUUCUAAGAGUUUGAUAACCCACAGAGUAUGAUCAGUCCUGCAAAAGUAUCUUGAUGAUUUUUAGAAACUGAUCACCUCCAUGAAUCAACCAGAUACAAAUAAUUCGUAGAGUUAGUUCAUACUCUGAAAACAUCUAAACUCUGUGAACAUAAUCAAGCAAAUGAUGAAACCAUCAAAGAAAAAGAGUGUUUUAUUAAAAUAGCAAAUCUUACACACACUCACCUCAUGCAUCUCAAAAUGUAUUAUCUAAAUGAGUUACAUGCAUGAAUAUGACUGUUGGUGAUCAUUAUGAUGAUUAUCUAAAUAUAUGAGGAACAGGGGUUUAGAAAAUAACCUAGCAGGACCCAUUUAAUUAUGGGUACCAAAAAUAGAAAUGUAUAACCUGCAGGUACUUGGUCUAUCUGACCACACUAAGGAAUGUUAAAGCAGAAGACUUCAGUCAAGAAAGAUUCAACCAGCAGAAGGCUUAAGACUGUUCAGAAUUGAUUUUGAUAAAAUUCCUAUAUGUCAAAGCCUGUUCUUGAAGACCUGCUGAGCUAAUCUGAAUAAAGCUCACAUGGAUGCUGAUCUUUGUAUGAAAGCAGGCCAUUCAACAAAAGAAGAAAAAGGUCUUAUAUGCUCAAUCAUGCAAAGCAUGUCAUAAGAGAAGAAUCCUCAAGGAAGCUGACUAUAGAGGAUCAUCAAGCAUCAAUCAUGAGGAACUCAUUAUGGGAGCAGAACUCAGCAAGCACAAACUGACAAGGAAUACUACGUUCGUAGUGCUAUCAAAGGAUCGUAGAAUGAUCAACUCUGAAAAAUGCCCAUUUCUACAAUACAAGAAGAUUUAAUGACUUCAACCAGAAUGAGAUAUACAUGGUUGCCUUCUGCUACACAUGAAGAAGAAGAACUUAGGUCUCUCUGAGAAGACAGUAUCAACUAUGGGGAAGCAGUAAUCUGCUAACAGUACAGAAGCUCUAAACCAUCAGAGAUAUACUAUGAAGCUGUGUAUCAGCUACAGAGUUCCAAAGCCUUGUGGCAGAUGAACCAAAUGAAGAUCCGUAGUCAGUAAGAACGUCACAAAACGUACUACUGAUAACCUUUCAGCCACCCAACUCAAAAUCGUGGAGUACCUACGAUCAAGCAUCUGAUCGUAGUGCAAGAGCAAGAGGACACCAUAAUUGCAGCCAGUGCAGAUGUCUAAAGUUGGAAGAGGGACACCUCAACAGAAAAGGUCAAAUGAGAUAUCAGUACAAAUCACUUCUAAAGUAUUUCAUCUGGAAAGUGCCUCAGGGACAAACCUGACCCUUAGCUCACUCUAAGAGGUUGGCCCUUCCUGAGCUACCUUGACCCAGAAGGAAUGCUUAGUAAAGUUCAUCUCAAGGACCAAAUCAGUCAACGAUUGUAGAAUAGAGUUUAAGAGAACUCAACGAUCGUGAUGCAAUCUCAACGAUCGUAGUGAAAACUCAACAAUCGCAGAAGCAGACUCGACGAUCGCAGACUUACCAGAAGACACUCUAGCUCAUGAGGAGCUUGGAAGAAUGAAACAAUUGCUCUACCAUUCUGAAGUAUGAGGAGAUUAGUUCAAAUACAGUUUGGUAAGACAUCUUGCAAACGCACAUCAGAACUUAAGUAUCCAAACUGGCUUGGGGUACAUCAGUGGUUGAGCUAUGCAGUUUCAACAUGAGGAGAAAUGUCAAAAUCAUCCACUGCAACAUCCUUCAGAGAAUUGAUCGUUGAGUCAACAAAGAAAAACGUAGAGUCAAUAGCUGUUCUAUCAUGCUACUCUAUAAACUCAAAAGGUCAAAGGUCAAUCCACGUCAAUCAAACAUCCACUCUUCUAAAAGAGACAACUAACUGACAAGUUACUGGGGAGUUACAGCUUGUUACUGGGUAUCAUGCAACCAAUGACUGGGUGACACAUCACAUCAUAUACAAAGUCAGAAGAAACCGCCAUAAAGACAGAUUCAAAUCUGCAAACAGAUAUCAGAACCUCUCUCCCUCCCAUUUUCAAAACCUAGAAUUCUUUUCGAAGCCAAACCACUAAAACUUCCAGAGUUCAAAUCAUAAUUAGCCAUACUUCAUAAAUCUCCCUGAAUCAAUAUCCAUAUUCCUCGAAUCAUUCGAAUGGAAGAUUGGCGAGUAAUCACUGACAUUCAACUCGGAACCAAGUCAUUUGAGAAAUCCGAAAAGAAGUUCAGAGACAUUCUUGAACUCGUGAAGAAAGCUGGAUUCUCAGAAUGUCUUGAGGCAAACACUCGAGUAUACACUAAACUGGUUAAGGAAUUCUACUCAAAUGCAUCCGUAAAUGCCGGAACUCUUUCAACCAAGGUUAAAGGUCAGUCUCUAAAACUGAAAUCAUCCGAUAUCAACCAAUGCCUAGAUUUUCCUGACCUAGGACUGAAAAACCUUGAUGAGAUUGACACUGAGAAAGCAAAGGAGAUUAUGGGGUACCAAAGAAACUCUAGUCUGAAGGACAUGAAGAAAAAGGAGUUUCCAAAAGAAUUCGAGUUCCUUGCUGAGAUUGUUGGCAAAUGUAUACUAUGCAAAGAUACCGCACAUGACAUUGUGCUCGACCAGCAGUUGAAGAUUAUGUCUGCAAUAGUUUUGAAGAAGCCAAUCAAUUUUGGAGCCAUCUUGUUCGACCAAAUCUCCAAAUGGAUAGAAAAGGCUAAGUUAAAGAAAUCUACAGACAAACCACUUACAAAAGUUUUUUAUGGAAGACUGCUAAGCAUAAUGAUGAAAAAGAAGCUAGGAAGCAAAAUCAAGGAUAAUGAGGGAGAGCCCUUAAAUGUUCACAAAGUAAUGUCUCCACAACUGUUCGUGAUCUGGAAGAAGAAUCCCAAGGAAAACAGGAGGCUGACUACUGGGAGCAGCAACAAGGCCUCUGCAAAGAAGAGGAAGGCAAGAGAGUUAGAAAGUUCUAAGUCUGGUGACUCUGAAUCAGCAGAAAUCACACAAGCUAGAAAGAAAUCUAGAGGUGUGAAGAAAACCAAGUCCCCACCAAGAAGUCUCUCCACCAAAGACAAGGAUGAAGAAGAAAAAGUCUUGACUGCUGAAACCACAAAGCGAAGAAGCAACAGGCUACUUCAAGAGCCAUUCAAAAAGAAAGCUAAAGUGGUAAACAGACAAGUUCCAGUUCCCCAAGGAAGCACAUCUGACAAAGAAGAGGACGUAGAGUCAAAGGAAGAGAAGGGAACUGAUAAUCUCAAGACUGAGUCCCCUGAAACUGGAUCCAUAAAAGAAGAUGUAAACUCAGCUGAUAAAAAAGAAUAUGUAGGCCCUAUGGCCAACUCUCAGAGUACUCACUUUGAAGUUGAAGAAAAGCUGCAAGAUGACCCAUCUGAAUGUUCAGAUGCAAAUGCUCCAACAAGCUCUCAUGAUGGAUCAAAUAAUGAUGAGGUUGAAAAAGAAAUAUCUUCCCCUGCUAAUGAUGAACCUCAAUAAAGUUUGUAUGCUGACUCAAAGAUCUCAGAGUCUGAAGAAGAAGAAGUAUCUGAAACUCCUAUUGCUGAACUUCCAACAAGAAGAAAGAGCUACAGACUACUUGCUCAAAUUACCUCCAAAAGGAAAAAUGAUCACUCCAAUGCUGUCGUUGAAUUGAGUGAUGAUGAGUCGGUAUCACAGGAAGUAAGUGCUAAGGAUGGAUCCAGUGAUGAAGAAGAUGAAUCAAAGGAAGAUCUUACUGAAGAAGAUUCUGGAAAUGAAAUGCAGCAAGAAGAAUUCAUGGAUGAAUCUGAUGAAAGGAGUAAGCAAAAUUCAAGCUCAAAAAGGGAAGAAAUGGAGAAAGAUUUCAAUUCUGCACAUCAGGAAUCUGACGAACUAGAAUACUAUCCUGUUCUCUCCCCAACCAGAAUAAGCAGAAGAAUUGUAGUGGAAGUCUUUGAUGAGCCACCAGCAGAACCACCAGCAAGAUAGAUAAAUCAAGGAAAUGAACAACUUCGAGUUGUAAGAAUGACCACAGAUGAAGUACUUCACAACUGGAAAAACAUGGAAUUAGAUUGCACAACAAUACUGUAUAACUCUGAAGACCUUCUGAUAAGAUGGUUCUUUCCAUGGAUGCUAUGGUUGAAGGCACAUACUGAGAGAGAUGAGAGUUACUUCAGUUGGUGCUACUCUUAUUUUCCAAGCAUGGAACUGGUGUCACAAAACUUCCCAAGAGUGAAGAGUUUCGCUACAAUGAUGAUCACAAACCAGCCUCACUACAAGGUAUACAGACAUGCUGGAAAUCACUAUAUCCCCUACGAUCGUAGAGUGGACUCAGAAGGAAGAAGGUUUGUGACCAAGGAAAUAAUCGAAGAGUCAGUUCACUCUACUACUGAUGGUUUCCAAGUACAAGAUACGAAGCUUCUAUAUGAUCAAGCACUACUGAUAGACAUUCCUACAUCCUCAACCAGUGAUUGGAACUCAACGAUUCUUCAGAUUUUCAACACCUUCGGAUAUCUGUCUAAGGAAGCAGAUCGUAGAGUCCAAUCUGAUACUCAACCAAGGGCUGCACAAUUAAAUGAUCAAAUAUCUGUGGAGAAGGAGCUGAUGAAGAAUUCUGAUGAACUGAUUGAGAGAAUAUCUUUAUUCACUGAAGAACCAAAGAAGCUGACAACAACAGAAGGUAACUUAGCUCAAGAGAGACUCCAAGCAAUGAUGGUUGAUGUAUCCCUCAAAGUCAGAGAAAGAGAUCACAUCUAUCUCAAAGCUUUACAUGAUCAAAAGGCUGAAGCUCUACUAGCACAAAAGGCAAAUGAAGAGCAACUCAAAGUCCUCUCCGACAAGAUUGACAACAUGAAUCAGUCCUUCUCCAUGCAACUUGAGUUAAGCCAACAAGAACUUAAGAUUGAAGUUGGUAACUCCUCCUACAUGAUGGAGCAACUUAUGUCCAACAUUGAGCAGCUCUCUCAAAUGAUUAAUGACAAAAAGGGGGAGAAAAAGAGGCAUAGAAAGGGGAAGAAAAAGAGGCACUCUAGAAAGAGCAAGGAGAACAGGAGCAAUCAAGUCAAGAAGACAAAGAAGGAAAAAGCAGAAGAAAGAGAUGGUUCAUCAGGUGAGGGGGAGCAAGGAGCCUGAACCAGGAAAAGAAGAAAGGAAUAGCUCCACAUGACAGGGGGAGCAAGGGAGCAGGAGCAAAGGAAUCAAAUAGAUGAAUAUCUGAUCAAUAGACAUCCUGGAAGCAUACAUGGAACCAAAGAGGUACAUCUCUAACUAGUUAGGUAUGUUCUGGAUCUAGGAUGUAAAAUGUCAGUAUAUUAAAUUCCACAUCAUUAUAAAUGACAUUCAUGAUUAUCUGUUUUAGAAAUACAGCUGCUCACAGUAUAUAGGAUUCAUUAAUAACAUGCAUAUACACUUAUUGUUUUUGUGAUAAUCAAAUAGGGGGAGAUUGUCAGGAAUAAACAUGUGAACGAUAAUCCUAUUUAUAUAUGAUUUGAUUAUGAUAUAUAUAUAUAUAUAUAUAUAUAUAUAUAUAUAUAUAUAUAUAUAUGAAUGAAUAUGCAAGUAUGCUUGCAUUAAGAAAAGUUGUAAAGUCCUUUGAUAGAUAAUAGAAACAUAUGUACAAGGACUUAGAAUGAAUUGAUCAAAUGUGUUAGGUUGAUCCUACAUAAGCAAAACAGCUUUGUAAAGUCCUUAAAAAGAAAUGAUGUACAAGGACUAUAAAUAUAGAAAGAUCAAGCAUGUUAGGUUGAUCUUAUGAUGUAAUAGAUAGGCUUGUCUGAUCGUCGAGCACUGCACCAGAAAUCGUAGUCUGCCAGGAGAGUCAAGGAAAACUCGAGAGCUAUCGAGGCAGAAUCGUAGUCUGCAAGAUAGUAGAUCUCGGAGUUCGUAGACUUCCAGGAGAGACGAGGAAGGAUCGUAGUGUGUCGAGGAGAACUUCCUCAGGGCCGUAGUCUGCUGAGGAAGUCAUGUUCAGAAUCGUAGAGACAGCCUGCCUACGAGCCGACCGAGCAUCUGCCAAAGCCAAGUCAAGAAUCGUAGACUACACUCAGAGUCGUAGAGUCUACUGAUCAUAUCAGAGGCAGAGAUCGUAGUCGAGCAAGAUCAGAUGAAGACAACAAGCACAACGACAGAAAUCGUAGAGUGUCAAGAUCUGAUCUCGGAGUCGUAGUGUCUGCACAGCCAAAGCUGAAUCGUAGAGUGCAGAACUAAGACCUCAACAGAUGUGCUCACAAUGCCAAGGCAGAAUCGUAGAGCAAAUACGAUUCUCAACGAAUGAGCACUCCCAGAAUAUCCAAAGGAAUGAAGCCUCUGGUUGGCACUGCAUAGAUACGUCCCACCUGAAGGAAACCAGAGAGCACUCAACGAAUGGCAUGCAAGCUAACAGAAGAUCUAAGCACCAACCCAAUCAGCAUCAAGAUUGAGUUGUGAAGCCAUUCGAGAUGAAGUCUUCCACAAGGAGAUCAGAAGAAGACUUCUGUAACUGACUAAGGAAAGUCAGCAAGUGCAGUAGCUGUCAAGCAGACAGAAGACAACGAUCUUGGAAGUUACCAGGAUCGUAGUGUUUGCCAAACAAAGAAAGAACUGAUGGAGUGCAUACAGAGAUACUGGACAGCUUCUGAAGAACAAGGCUAAAGUGAUUAAGCAUUGGGUCAGUCCAUUGAUGAUAAGUGAACGGGAGAUCACAAGGAGAAAGCGAGCUGGACACGCCACAAAUCUGAAGUGUCUUGUUAUUCAGAAGGGGCCAGAGCAAGAAGUCAAGCCAUCAGUAUCUGAGAGCUGCUGAGGCAAACAGAAGUGUUGAAGCACUGCACAAGAGAAGGAAGAGGUGUUCUACAUUGAAGAUCAAAUCAACACUCUUCAAGAUCGUAGUGUUGUCUCUACCAGUCAACAAGACACUACGAUCAGGUCCAUGAAGACAUGCAUCAGAAUCGUAGAGUUUGAAUAGCUGAAGACUGAAGCAUUGGCAACGGUUCAAUCUGAAGGAUAAUAUUCGGACAAGAGCUUAUUGAGAGCAUCGAUGCAAGGACAACCUCUGAUCGAGAAAUCAGAAAGGUAAAAUAAAGUCGUCGACCUGCCCAAGAUAUCAAAGUGACAUAUCUGAUAGGGUUGGUGAAACAACAGACUGCAGUGUCAGAAAGUCAGAAAAAGAUGUCAUGUCACAUCUGCAGUCUGCACCAAAUAACUCGAGAUCUGCGAGGAAAUUUGAAUAGCUUUCAACGGCUACUUUCCAACGGGAAGAUUGGGAAGUAGUAUAAAUCAACAGAGCUUCAAAGAUCAAGGCUCGCUGAUGAUUGUAAAGUUGCAGAAUCGUUGAGUUGGUGAAUACUAUUGUUGACUCGUAGACUACACUCAGAGUUGUAGAGUCUACUAAUCAUACCAAAGGCAAAGAUCGUAGUCGAGCAAGAUCAGAUGAAGACAACAAGCACAACGACAGAAAUCGUAGUGUCAAGAUCUGAUCUCAGAGUCAUACUGUCUGCACAUCCAAAGCUGAAUCGUAAAGUGUAGAACUAAGACCUCAACAGAUGUGCUCACAAUGCCAAGGCAGAAUCGUAGAGCAAAUACGAUUCUCAACUAAUGUGCACUCCCAAAAUAUCCAAAGGAAUGAAGCCUUUGGUUGGCACUGCAUAGAUACGUCCCAUGUAAGACCCCAGCUUAUUAUAAAUGAAAUUAAAUUUCCUCUAUUUAUUAUUUUGCAAUAGUAAGGGUUGAUUUGAUAGCUUAUUAUAAAUGAAAUUAAAUUUCUUCUAUUUAUUAUUUUGAAAUAGUAAGGGUUGAUUUGAUUAAUGUGGUUAGUUAUGGGUAAAAUGCGCAAAUAUUUUAAAUAAGCAAGUGGUUAUAAAUAUUCAUUGUUGUUAGGGAAUAUUCGUUUGGUCGUGGAAUAUUCUUGCUGUCGGGAAAUAUUCGUACGACGGCGCAGCCUUGUGUGGGCCCCAUAACGGAAAACGAUUGGAUGAAGAAAACGACAAGUAUAAGUUGUUUAUAAAUAACGGCUUAGUUGUUACCGUUAAUACUGUUGGAAUACCCGGUGGUUAAAACAGAGUAGUACACGGUAUUGCACCAAUUAUUGAUUCUUACGUAAGAAGGUACUACUCAAUAAUUGUUACAGUAGUUACUGUUCAAUAUUUUAUUUUAUUGAUUCAAUAAUUGCUACGUUGAUAUUUUAUAUUAUUGCUGUUUCAAUAAUUGUCACUACACAGUAUUUUCAUUAUCAGAUCAAUAAUUCAUAUUAUUUGAGUAAUAUUAUUAGAUAACAUUAUUGGCAAUGUCUAGAAAGUUAUGUCUAAGGAGAGGUUUGGUCACCUAAUUGUGCGCCAGUAAGGAGAAAUCCUUAUUGGAAAGCCCUCUCUUUCUUGGGAAUUGCAUGGUUGUCAGUAUUAUGAUUCUGUAAUAUUAUUUGUGAAUAGUUAAUUAUUAAUUUAUAUGAUAAGGAAAAUAUUCAUUUUAUGUGGAUAUAGAUAGAGAAAAUUUUUAAGUGACAAUUGUUGAAAAAUUGAUAUUUUAUCUUUUCUGAUAAAAUAAUUCAUUUAAAUAUAUUAUUAUAUUUUAAUAAUAUAAUAAUGGUGAUUUUUAUACAAUGAAUGUGGGAUAUAUGAAUAUAUGAGGAGGAAGAGUAUUUUUGUUGCAAAAGUUGUUUAAAACAUGUUAAACAUGUCCGUGGGCCUAUUUCUUGACUGAAAUUUGAUUAUAGCCUGUAAUAUCGCACGUUUGUGGAUUUCGGUCAAUUUCUGUUUGAAAUUUGGAAAAACUUAAACUUACAAAGUUGUAGAGAAUGGAAUUUCCUAUAGAAAAGACACAAGGUUCAAAUUUUUAUGAUAAAAGAGCUAUUUAUUAUGAAUUAUUGAAGUUCCGAAGUCCCGGAAUAAUUGAUUUUUAGAAGUUUUAAUUAUUUUUAUUAAUAAAAACGUUUUUUUACAUUUUGUGGGCCUCAUUAAACAUGUGCAAUGAGCUGAAAUUCGAUUUCAAAGGUGUGCGUGACAAUUUUAUAAAUAUAAUAAUAUUUUAUUAAAUUUUCUGCUUUGGUGUUCUAAGUAUUUUCCUAUAAAUAGGGUGCUUAGGUUAGAAUUGAAAAUCACACCAGAAACUGAAGUUUUCUCUCUCUCUUUCUCUCUCUAUAUUAUCGAGCGUAUUCUUGUAAGUAUUUUGAUACUUUGAGUGUUGCUAUACGGUGCAAGUUCCUUCAGCGUCAUAUCUGAUAUUCCAGCCAGAAGUACUAUUCUUUUCGAGGUAAGGGAUGUUAUUUUCUUUCGAAAUGAUAUUAAUUUCUUCAAUAUCAUUAUGCCAAAAUAUUGGUUUGAACUUUUUAAUCAAAUUUAGAACUUUUUAUGUCGGGGUUACUAUUCACGUAUACAGCACUAUUCACGGAUACGACACUAUUCAUCAAAAAAUGAAAAUUUUCUUUUUGUCCAAAAUAUCUAUUAUGGAUACUAGCUUUGAUUGUAUCCAUGUUUUGAUCAUUCUUGAAUUUUACUUUACUACGGUUAUUUAUGAAGUAUUUUUGAACUUGGAUUGUUUGAAAUACGAAUCCUUAAUAUUUGUUCUUUUGCUUCACUGGAUUCGUUUUCUUUAAAAUAUUUUUCAUCAUCCUCAGUCCUAAAUGAUGAUAUUACUGAAUAUCUUUGGCCUGUAGUGCAAAGAUUAAUGAUUUUCUGAUGAAUAUCUUUGGCCCGUAGUGCAAAGAUGAACAGGUGUUGAGAUGAACAUGACCAACUGAUGAAUAUCUUUGGCCUGUAGUGCAAAGAUGAAUAUUUGAUUCAAGAUGAAUAUUGAUUGAUGUUACAGGGAUAAAAUAUUGAUGAUGGACUUUUAAAUUCAUAGAUUAUAGUAGAUUUCAUUCUCUAUGUAACUCAUCUAUGAAUUAUUAUUUUCGAUGCGAAUAUUGAUCUGAAACAUGUUGUCUAUUGUAUUUUAUCAGAUUUUUCCCUGUUGAAGACUAACGAUAAUUUGUUCUAUAUUAUCUUAGUCAUAAUAUUCUUUACUGGGCUAGUUGAGCUCACCCUUUUCCUUUUUGUUCCAUUUUUCUUCUCAGGAGGCGAGAAUGUAGCGAGUUCUAGUCGGAGUGUGGAAUGAUGGUUUUAGAGAGUUAUUUUAGUAGUCCUCACCAUUUAUGUAAAAUAAUGUACCUAUAAUUGUAAAGAUGACUUAUUUGGGUGUGAAUAUUGUCUAGAUGGCAAUAUUUGUAUUUAAAAUCACAGUUUUUAUGUUGUAUUAAUAAAGUUGUAGUUGUUUCUGUAACAUGUUAUUGACGACUCAAAAUGGGUGAUGUAUACCUAUUUUGGAGGCGUCACAUCCCACCUGAAGGAAACCAGAGAGCACUCAACAAAUGGCAUGCAAGUUAACAGAAGAUCUAAGCACCAACCCAAUCAGCAUCAAGAUUGAGUUGUGAAGCCAUUCGAGAUGAAGUCUUCCACAAGGAGAUCAGAAGAAGACUUCUGUAACUGAUUAAGAAAAGUCAGCAAGUGCAGUAGCUGUCAAGCAGACGGAAGACAACGAUCUUGGAAGUUACCAGGAUCGUAGUGUUUGCCAAACAAAGAAAGAACUGAUGGAGUGCAUACAGAGAUACUGGGCAGCUUCUGAAGAAUAAGACUAAAGUGAUUAAGCAUUGGGUCAGUCCAUUGAUGAUAAGUGAACGGGAGAUCACAAGGAGAAAGCGAGCUGGACACACCACAAAUCUGAAGUGUCUUGUUAUUCAGAAGGGGCCAGAGCAAGAAGUCAAGCCAUUAGUAUCUGAGAGCUGCUGAGGCAAACAGAAGUGUUGAAGCACUGCACAAGAGAAGGAAGAGGUGUUCUAGAUUGAAGAUCAAAUCAACACUCUUCAAGAUCGUAGUGUUGUCUCUACCAGUUAACAAGACACUACGAUCAGGUCCAUGAAGACAUGCAUCAGAAUCGUAGAGUUAGAAUAGCUGAAGACUGAAGCAUUGGCAAUGGUUCAAUUUGAAGGAUAAUAUUCGGACAAGAGCUUAUUGAGAGCAUCGAUGCAAGGACAACCUCUGAUCGAGAAAUUAGAAGGGUAAAAUAAAGUCGUCGACCUGCCCAAGAUAUCAAAGUGAUAUAUCUGAUAGGGUUGGUGAAACAGUAGACUGCAGUGUCAGAAAGUCAGAAAAAGAUGUCAUGUCACAUCUGCAGUCUGCACCAAAUAACUCGAGAUCUGCGAGGAAAUUUGAAUAGCUUUCAACGGCUACUUUCCAACGGGAAGAUUGGGAAGUAGCAUAAAUCAACAGAGCUUCAAAGAUCAAGGCUCCCUGAUGAUUGUAAAGUUGCAGAAUCGUUGAGUUGGUGAAUACUAUUGUUGACUCUACGAGUUCCACCAAAGAUCAAUAGAACAUGUCUCAGUGACAGUGAGACUAUCAAGGUGGAAGUGAAGCAGCUUUGAAGAAGGAAUCAAACAGAUCGAAGCUUCACUCAACAAAGAUGAGAAUGCCACUGAAGAUGGUAGCCAAGAUGAGAGCCGAGAAGGCCAAGAAGAUAACAUUCAGGAAAGUGGCUAAGUACAAAGAAGAUCAAGAUAGCCACUCUACGAAUCACCAUGAACCGAAAGCUAAAAAUGAACAAGUGCAGAACCAUGUCUGCAAAGUAUUCAAGAAGGGUUCAGGAAUUUCUAAGUGCCAGACAAAGUCUACUAAAAGCACAGAGACUUAGCAAACCCAGAUGGUGAUGGUGCAUAGCUGAUACCAGAUGAAGAUGAGCAGAAAAGAGUGAAGAUCAGCUGCACCAAAGAAGAUGUGGUCCAGACCCGAAGCAGAAUGUAAAGAGGACCACACCAAGCUGUUAAGUACAAAAGAUGUUCAGAGCUUAAUGACAUCUUAGCAGCUCAGCACCACCACCACUAACAACAACUACAACAACAAGAAGCCAGGGCCUGAGGGGUCUUUGUCCGGAUGGACUAAAUGAAGUUCCAAGCCUGUUGGGCUUGAAGAGUUCUUAGGGAACUAGAGAAGUCCCAAGGCUGCUGGCCUUGAAGAGUUCUUAGUGAACUGAAGUCCCAAGGUUGCUGGCCUUGAAAGAAUCUUAGUGAUUCAGGGUGCUGCGCUUCCUUAGUUGAAAUCCUGCUAGUUGAAAGAAGAAGAGUGGAUUAGGAGCUUGAGUCUCUGAACCACUUAAAACCCCUCGUGUCUCUUACUUUAUGUCAUUUACUUUAUGUACAUUAACUGCUAUAACUGUUAUGUAUGUCAUAACUGCUUAUCACUGAACUAACUCUACGAACAAUGUAUGUAUGAUUAUGAAUAUAUCAAUGAAGGGGAUCUUUUACUUAUUCCGUUGUGCUUGAAAAGAUUCUUAUGUCUGUCACAUGCUAAAUUAUUAGCAAUACAAAAUAAAUCGGAAAAGUAUUUUGAAAUUCUAAGGAUCUAUUCAACCCCCCCUUCUAGAUCUAUUGUGCCUACUGGGAACUAACAAUCUCUUCUGUGAACCUCAUGGAGAGAAAUAAAUCUUGGCAAGAGUUUUUUCUCAUGCCCGAAAUUCAGAGUAAGUUCUUAUAAUUUUGUUUGAUUUUGUGUUUGGUAAAGGUUUAUACCUGCAACGAUUGAAUAAUUUUUAAUUUUGUGGUUCAAUAAAGGGAUUUAGGUUCUUUGUAUGACAUGACCCACAAAUGUAUGAGAGGGAAAAUAUUGUCAUAAAUGAUUUGAAGAGGAAGAACAAGAUUUUACUAAAUAAGGAACUGAAUAAAUUUUCUCAGGUUGAAGGGGCAUCUAAAUUGAAAGAAUUGGUUCAUGAGUUGAAAAAGUUGAAGUCAAAUGGAGAUGAAGUUUCUGCAAAAUAAAUUAAAUAAGUAGAGUAUUUGAAUAAGAAGUGCAUUGUUGUGUUAUUCUUAGUUAUGUUCAUAUGUUUCUUUGAUGCUACUUAGGUAGAAAAAUGGUUAGAUGAAUUAGUAGUGUUAUGAAUUUUAAUGUACUGCAGUUUAAAAUAUGCAAUUAUCUAAAUGUAAUUGUUGAAAUUAGUUAAUGAAAGUCCUUGUUUGAACAUUUUUGUGUGUAUCUUCUGUGUGUUAAUGGAAAUCCUUGUUUGAGGAGUCCUUGGUUAAUUGAUAGUUUUAUGUGUUUAAGCAAUUUUGUUGAAAUAUGUGUUAAUGGUAGUUUUGUGUGUUUGAGCAGUCCUUGGUUAAUUGGUAGUUUUGUAAGACCCCGAAUUUUAUGAAAUGAAAAUAUUCAAUUUUUUUAAUUUCUCUUUAGUAAAUGGUUAAAUCGAUAAAAUUUUAUAGUUAUGGGUGAUAUGUGAAAAUUUUACAAAGUAAACAAGUUGUCAUAAAAUAUUAGUUGUGUCGGGGAAUAUUCAUUUGGUCGGAGAAUAUUCUUUUUGUCGAAAAAUAUUCGUACGACGUCGCAAUCAUUGGUGGACCCCACAUAACGGAAUAACUGUCGGAUAUAUUAAGCGACAAAAAUAAUCUUUUUAUAAAAAUAACGGCAAGACUGUUAUAGUUAAACUGUUAAAAUACCCGGUGAUAAAAGUACAGUAAUACGCGUUAUUCCACAAUGGUACGCGGUAUUACACAGUAGCAUACGGUAGUGCACAGUAUCUCUGAUUAAUCAUUGAUGCUUACGUAAGAAGUCACUCAGUGUUUGACUUAAUAAUUGUUACAGUAAAAAUUGCACAGUCUUUUAUAUUAUUGAUGCAAUAAUUACUACAAUGAUAAUUGAAUAGUAUUUUAUAUUAUUGACUCAUUAGUUGUCACAGUAAAAACUGAAUAGUAUUUCUCAUUAUUAAAUCAAUAAAUAUCACCCAUAUUAUUGAAAUAAUAUUAUUAGAUAAUAUUGUUGACAAUGUCUAAAAAGUUAUGUCGAGGAAAGGAGUUAAGUUAUAUAAUUGCGCGCCAGUAAGGAGAAAUCCUUAUCGGAAUGCCCCCUCUUUCCUGGGAACGAUCUGUUUGUCAAUAUUGUGAUUCUAUAAUAUUAAUUAGGAAUAAUUAUUGAAAGAUUGAAAAGUUGUAAAUAAUUGAUAAAAUAAUUUUUUUUUGAUAAAUAUGAUAAAUAAGUAUUUGUUCAAUUUUGAUAUAAAUGGAGAAAAUUUUAAAAGUUUGAUGUAAGACCCCAACUUAUUAUAAAUAAAUUAAUUUUUCUCUAUUCAUUAUUCUAAAUUAAUAAGGUCUUAAUUUGAUAUAAUACUUUGGUUAUGGGUGAAAUGUGCAAAUUUUAUAAAAUAAGCAAGUGGUUAUAAAAUAUUCCUUUUGUCCGGGAAUAUUCGUUUGGUCGUGGAAUAUUCUUUUUGUCAGGAAUAUCCGUACGACGGUGCAGUCAAUUGUGGGCCCCAUAACAGAAUAACUUUCGGAUGAAGAAAACGACAAAGUUUGAGUUUUAUAAAUAACGGCGUAACUGUUACCGUUAACACUGUUGGAAUACCUGGUGGUUAAAAUACAGUAAUACGCGUGGUUGCACAGUAGCACACGGUAUUGCACAAUAUUGUUGAAUUAUUGAUUCGUACGUAAGAAGACACUACUCAAUAAUUGUUACAGUAGUUACUGUUCAAUAUUUUAUUUUAUUAAUUCAAUAAUUGCUGCGUUGAUAUUUUAUAUUAUUGUUAUUUCAAUAAUUGUCACUGCACAGUAUUUCCCAUUAUCAGAUCAAUAAUUCAUAUUAUUUGAAUAAUAUUAUUAGAUAGCAUUAUUGGCAAUGUCUAGAAAGUUCUGUCAAGGAGAGGUUUGGUCACCUAAUUGCGCGCCAGUAAGGAGAAAUCCUUAUUGGAAAGCCCCCUCUUUCCUGGGAACGGCCUGGUUGUCAUAAAUGUGAUUCUGUAAUAUUAUUUGUGAAUAAUUAAUUAUUGAUUCAUAUGAUAAGGAAAUAUUUAUUUUAUGUGGAUAUAAAUGUUGGAUAUAUUUAUUGUGGUUAAAAAUGAAGGAGUUAAUGUUGAGGUGUUUUAUCAGUAUUUUUGUCGGAAUGAAGGUAUUAAAAAUUAAACCAGUGUUUUUGAGAUAUAUUGUGUGAGUUAUAAUUUUUAAUCCGACCGUUGGAUCGUUGUAAUUUUUGGAUAUGUUAUACAUAUAUAAGUUGAGUAUAUGUCCACAAAUUUUGAACCGUUAAAAAUGAACGUAUGAUUUGUUAUGAAUUUUAAGAGGUGACUGAUUCGGAAAUUAGGUUUAUAAAUGAUUUUGGUAGAAAAUUCUAGAAUUGAGUGGGCCCCACUUGUGGUUGGUGAAGAAAUGUGCUGAAUUUUAUUUCAAAUGUGGUGGGUGGCAAUAGUAACAGGUAAAGCCAUCAGGUAGCAGGUCAAGUCUGCUUCGGCGUGCUAACAUUUUUCUAUAAAUAGAGGGCUAAGUUAGAAUUGAAAAUCACACCAGAAACAUAAGCUUUCUCUCUUUCUCUCUCUAUAUUAUUGAGCGUAUUUUGUGAGUAUGCGGGUACAAGUGCGAUAUUGACAACGCAAAAGCCCAUUUUGUGUGACUUGCAAAGGAUGGAGAUAGAGUUAAAGACUCCAGGGACCCAUGUGAUGAUGGCGAAUAUACGAGUAGAACCGACUUUAAUUGAUAUAGUUAAAGCUGCUCAAGUUACAGAUCUGGAUCUGAUGCGUAUGAGGAAGAAAGUGCAAGAAGGUGCUAUGCCGGAGGCAAGAAUCGAUGAAGAAGGAAUACUUCGAGUCAACUCCAGACUUUGUGUCCUAACGACCCUGAUUUAAAGUAUAAAAUCAUGAUGGAGGCGCACAACACACCGUUUGCAAUCCAUCCUAGGAGUACUAAAAUGUAUCAUGAUCUUCGACAUACAUUUUGGUGUUUCAAUAUGAAGAGAGAGAUAGCGUUGUUUAUCUUAAGAUGUCUAACGUGUCAACGAGUCAAGGCGGAGCAUUAAGUAGCAAAAGGUCUAUUGCAACCACUUGAAAUUCCAUAAUGGAAGUGGGAGCACAUUACCAUGGAUUUCAUUACUGGUCUUCCUCAGGUUUCUCAAGGCAUAGAUGCAAUUUGGGUCAUUGUUGAUAGAUUGACCAAGUCUGCUCAUUUCUUACCAAUACGGGAAACUUAUACACUUGAACGUCUUGCUUGUACGUACAUAAACGAGAUUGUAAGACUGCAUGGUAUGCCAGUAUCCAUAGUUUCUGAUCAAGACCCAAGAUUCACUUUAAGAUUUUGGGUUAGUUUGCAAAAAGCAAUGGGCACAGACUUACAAUUUAGUUUGGCAUAUCAUCCUCAAACGGACGGACAAUCAGAGAGGACUAUUCAAACUCUUGAAGAUUUAUUAAGACUUUAUGUCCUUGACUUCAAGGGAAGUUGGGACAAGUUUUUACCACUGGUGGAGUUUUCCUACAACAACAGUUAUCAAGCAAGUAUUGGCAUGGCUCCAUUUGAGGCGUUGUAUGGAAGAAAGUGUCAAUCUCCAGUAUGCUAGGAUGAGGUGGGUGAAGCAACGUUGUUGGGACCGGAGUUGGUACGUAUGACUACGAAAAAGAUUCAAACGAUCCGACAACGUAUAAAAACCUCACAAGACCGACAAAAGAGUUAUGCUGAUCUUCACCGAAAGGACGUGGAAUUCGAUAUAGGAGAUCAUGUGUUGUUCGUAUUGCUCCAUGGAAAGGAGUUACAAGAUUCGGAAAGAGAGGAAAGCUCAAUCCUUGUUUCAUUGGCCCAUUUUUAAUCCUCGAUCGAGUAGGAACUGUGACCUAUAGACUCGCUUUACCGCCAAGUAUGUCUCGUGUUCAUAACGUUUUUCACAUAUCUAUGUUACGUAAAUAUGUGGAAGACCCGAACCACAUUAUUGAGUUAGAACCGGACGAAAUAGUGGAAGAUUUGACGUAUGAAGAGGUUCUUGUUCAAAUCUUGGAUAAGAAGGAACAUAUUCUACGUUCCAAGGUUAUAUCUCAAGUUAAAGUUUUGUAGAGAAACCACGAUGUUGAGGAAAUGACCUAGGAGUUAGAAUCUGAAAUGAAAUCAAGGUAUCCUUACCUCUUCGACAUACCAGGUACGUACCCUAAUUUCGAGGGCGAAAUUUCUUAAGAAGGGGAGGUUGUAAGACCCCAGUUUUUAUGAAUAAAAAUGAAUUUUCUAUAAAUAUCAUUUUUGAAUAUUAUGGAAUAAAUUUGAUAUAAUGUUAUAGUUGUGGGUAAUAUUUAUAAAUUUUUCAAAGUACGCAAGUUGCUAUAUAAUAUUCGAUUGGUCGGGGAAUAUUCGUUUUAACAGGGAAUAUUCGUACGAUGGCACAAUUAUUGGUGGACCCCACAACAGAAUUAUUGUCGGAUUGAGAAAAUGACAAAAAUAUUUUAUUGAUAAUAACGACGGAAGUUUUACCGUUAAUACUGUUGAACUACUCGGUAGUAAAAGUACAGUAAUACGCGUGGUUGCAUAGUAGCACACAGUAUUGAUUAUUGAUGCUUACAUAUUUUAUAUAUUAUUAAAGUAAUAAUUGAGAUGACAGAGUUAUUAAUAUUAUUAUUUGAUAAUUAACGAUGUCUAGAAGUUCUGCCAAGGAGAGGUUUGGUCACCUAAUUGCGCGCUAAUAGGGAGAAAUCCUUAUUGGAAAGCCCCCUCUUUCCUGGGAACGACCUGGUCAAUUAAUAUUAUGAAUUAUAAUAAAGGUGAUAAAUGUUGUUAAAAUUAUUAAGGUGAUUUUUAUGAAGUAUUUGUGUAAAUUUUGAUUAUUAUAUGGACCACCAUUUACCCAUUUUUCAAAAUAAUCAGUAGAAAAUUAUUUUAUAAAAGGUGUGGCCACUAGUAAAGUUGAUGUCUUGUGUGGGGGAGGGGGGAUUUUGCAUUGUCGGGAGGAAAAUUGUGUAAUGGGUGGAUGAAUUACAUAGUUGAUGAGUGGCUGAUUAUUAUAUAUAUGUUUAAUAUGUGGGUGGGAAAUGGUGGGGCUUUGCAAAAGGUAACUAGUAUUAUAUGUAUAUAUAUAUGUUUAUAACAUGUGUGGGUUAUAUAUAUAUAUGUAUGUAUUAUAAUUUUGUUUUAUUUUUAUUGGUUGGUUGAUUGACAAAUUGUGUGUGUGGGUUAUAUAUAUAUAUGUAUUAUAAUGUUGCUUUAUUCUUAUUGGUUGGUUGAUUGACAAAUUGUGUGUGUGUGGGUUACAAAAUUUUUUUUCAUCCGAUUGCAUAACUGUUGCAUUACACAGUGCCUUUCCAUUCUCCUAUAAAUAGAAGCUCAUUCCUUCAUUAUUUCUUACGAAUUCACUGAAACUCCAGAGAGAGAAAUUAUAGAGAAACUAUAGAAAAGUAUUCUGCUACUUCCCUACUCUUAUAUCCAGUUUCUUUUACGGUAAGGGGUGUUAUUUCUUUUGUAUUCAUGAAGAGAACUUCUGUUAUUCCAUUCUUUAUUAUUCUGUUGGAAUAACCUGUAUACGCGGGCUACCCUAUACUUGGUGAAAUUCUUUUGUUAUUCCAUUCUUUAUUAUUCUGUUGGAAUAUCCUGUCUCUGCGUUUUACGCCGGACCUGAUUCCGUCUUUAUUAUUCUGUUGGAAUAUCCUGUCUGUGCGUUUUAUGCCGAACCUGAUUCCGUCUUUAUUAUUCUGUUGGAAUAUCCUAUCUUUGCGUUUUACGCCGGACCUGGUUCUGUCUUUAUUAUUCUGUUGGAACAUCCUGUCGGUGCGAAUUUCGCCUGACCUGGUUCCAUUAUUUAUUAUUUUGUUGGAAUAACCUGUUUAUGUGAAGUACCGCAUGCAUGGUGAUUUCUUUUGUUAUUCCAUUCUUUAUUAUACUCAGUUGGUUAAAGUUUUGACUUCUAUACUCCAUGAAAUUAGUGGAAUAUCCUUGAUAUUUGCGCUUCAUCCAGUAUCUUUUCAUGGAAAUAUUCUUCUGAGCAUUCUUGAAUUUUACUCUACAAAGCAGUAUCAUGUUGACAAUUUGGACGUUAUUAGUUCCUGGAUAAAUUAAUUCUUGAACUUGUUUUAUUGAAUUCUUAUAUCAUUGUCAUCAUCCUCAUGUUUAUAUUUUGUUGAAAGUCAUCUGUGGCCUGUAGUGCAUAGAUGGACUUGGUAUGAUUAUGACCAGGGAUUAUUCGGUGUAAUCAUGACCGUAAUGUUACAAAUGAUGUGGUAAAAGUCCUCAUUGGCCCGUAGUGCAUUGAUGGACAGUUGUUGGCAUGAUCAUGACCAUUAAUGAAUACACAAAUAUUCUUGGCCCGUAGUGCAUGGAUAAUUGUGGUCGUGAUACUAAAGAAUAUCCUUGGCCGUAGUGCAGGGGUGAUUCGAUGAUGUGGAUUAUUUAUUAAGCUGAGUCCCAGCGAUAAAAGUGAUGAAAAACCUUUUAAAUCAUAAAAGAUAGUAGAUUUUAUUCUCUACUUGACUCUUUUAAUGGAUUGCUUGUUCCGCUGCAGUUAAACUUGAUGUUUGUUAUAUUGUAUCAGUUUAACACUGUUUAAGGCUAAUGAUAAUUUAUUCUGCAUUAUCUUAGUCAUAAUAUUUCUUACUGGGCUAGUUGAGCUCACCCUUUCUUUCACUGUUCUCUUCAGGAAAUGAGAAUAUAGCUGGGACGAGUCGGGGAACGGAGUGAUGGUCCAGAGGAUAGCAUUAGUAGUCCUCACUAUUCUGUGAAAUAGUGUGAUAAUAAUUGUAAUGAGGACUCCUUUUGAGUUUGUAUAAUCUCUAGUAGACAAUAUUUGUAUUCAAACUCACAGUUUAUGUUUUGUCGUAUUGUACACGACAGUUGUAUUAGUAAGUUGUAUUUGAAUUCUGUACCAUGUAUCUGGCGACCCAAGAUGGGUGAUGUAUACCUAAUUUUGGGGGCGUCACAGUUGGUAUCAAAGCUUAGGGAUAUGAUCCCUGGCUAAGAUGUGAGACUAGAACUAGGAGGGGAGAGACGGGGAAUUCCUUCGCUAGUAUGACCUACCUAAGUUUAUUUGGUAUUUAAUUGGUCGGUCAGAGUAUAGGGAUAAUAUGUGAUAUGUUAAUUAACCCUUGUUUUGUGGCAGUAUUUGAAAAUGGCAUCCGAGAAUGUUGAGAACAUCAAUGGAGCACAGGAGACCGUUGAGUCUCCACAGAUCAAUAAUCAGGAUAAUGUGCAUCAGGAAGGCGACAAUCCUCAUGCAAACAACAACACUGACCAAAUGAUGAACGAUGGAAUGUUCAGAGGCUUUAUGCAAUUCAUGCAACAUCAGGCGAGAGCGGCUCCUGUCCAAAAUGCAGGUGGAAACACUGGCAACUCUCGGACGGUCACCGCUAAACAGUUCAAGGAGCUGGGACCACCGGAGUUUAUUGGAGAGCCAAAACCACUUAAGGCGGAAGCAUGGAUAAAGCAGAUCACCAAGAUAUUUGAUGUCUUGGGAUGCUCCGAGGAGCAAAAGGUUCCCUUUGCCACCUUUAUGUUGCGAGGAGAGGCAGAUUACUGGUGGGAAUCGGUAAAGCGUACUCAACCUGCCGCACUGAAGAUGUCUUGGGAGAAGUUCCAAGAACUAUUCAACGACAAGUACUUUCCCGAAAGUAUUCGUCACAUGAAAGAGGUAGAGUUCAUCAAGCUGGAGCAAAACAACAUGACCGUGUCGCAGUACGAAGCCAAGUUUGCCGAGUUGUCCCGGUUUGCGUCCCAUUUGGUUGAUAAUGAGGAGAGAAUGACGCGAAUGUUUCUAAGAGGUUUGAAACCCGAGAUACGUCAAUAUCUUAUCUCUCAUAAACUGUGUUUGUAUUCAGAUGUUGUUAAUAGGGCUCAGUUAUUGGAGCGCGAUAAUGAGUCAACCCAACCAAAAGAGAGCAGCCGGCAAAAUGAUAAUACCAGUGAUAACAGUCAUCGAAGCGGUGACAAUAAGCGUGGAGGGAAUCAACAUGCCAGAAAUGGUAACCACUUCGGUGGUAAUCAUGGCCAAAACAAUAAGAAUGGACAUUUCAAGAAGAGGAGAUUCAACAAUGAUGGAAAGACGUCAGCACCAGCACCCGUUGUUAAGGAAGGAGAACGACCACCUAUCAUAUGCUUCAAAUGCGGAGGGGAGGGACACAUCAGUCCAAACUGCGCGAUGCCGUCCAAAGCAUGUUAUAAUUGUGGAAGAGAAGGUCACCUAGCCCGAUUUUGUCGUUCACCGAAGACAAGUUCAGCUAGGAUGGAGGCACCAAAGGCCGUCCCAGAAAAGUCAAAGCCGGUAGUGCAAGGGAGAGCGUUUGUUGUGACCUCCCAGAAAGCAAGGAACCCGAAUGAGGUCAUCACGGGUAAGCUUAUCAUAAACUCUAGCGAAGUCUAUACCUUAUUUGAUACCGGUUCUACCCAUUCUUUUAUUUCUCCUACUUGCGCUCAACGUUUAAAUUUGACUCCGGAGAAAUUAGACUUUGACUUAUCUGUUGAAACUCCGUUGGGAGAAACCUUCAUUACAUCCACUGUUUAUAAGUCUUGUUUGGUUCAAAUCGGUACCCUCACAUUACCUGUCGAUCUUAUUUCAUUGAAAAUACUUGCAUUUGACGUAAUUCUAGGGAUUGAUUGGUUAACUACUCAUCAUGCAAAAAUUGAUUAUUUUCGUAAGGUUGUUAGCUUUCAUAUUCCUAACCAACCUAUUAUGCGAAUUCAAGCAACCAAACCAUUAAAAUCAAUCACUGUCAUCUCAAGCCAUAAAGCUAUUCGUUUAUUGAAAAACGGAUGUCAAGCUUUCUUAGCUCAUGUCACGGAUCUAAACAAAAAUACGUCAGUUUUGAAUGAUAUUUCUAUUGUUAAUGAAUUUCCUGACGUAUUCCCUGAAGAACUUCCUGGCCUACCUCCAGAGCGUGAAAUUGAAUUUUGUAUCGACCUUGAACCCGGUUCAAAACCCAUUUCCAAAUCCCCAUAUCGAAUGGCUCCUAUUGAACUUCAGGAGUUAAAAACCCAACUGCAGGAAUUGCUAGACAAUGGAUUUAUUUGUCCUAGUACUUCUCCUUGGGGUGCUCCUAUUCUAUUCGUGAAGAAGAAAGAUGAGAGUAUGCAACUUUGUAUUGAUUAUCGGGAGUUGAAUCAUGUCACCAUCAAAAAUAGGUACCCAUUGCCACGAAUUGAUGACCUGUUUGACCAGUUACAAAGCGCUAAAUUCAUUUCAAAGAUUGAUCUUCAUUCCGGAUAUCACCAAUUGAAGAUUAGAACCGAUGACAUUCCAAAGACGGCUUUCAGAACUCGGUACGGGCAUUAUGAAUUCCUAGUNNNNNNNNNNNNNNNNNNNNNNNNNNNNNNNNNNNNNNNNNNNNNNNNNNNNNNNNNNNNNNNNNNNNNNNNNNNNNNNNNNNNNNNNNNNNNNNNNNNNNNNNNNNNNNNNNNNNNNNNNNNNNNNNNNNNNNNNNNNNNNNNNNNNNNNNNNNNNNNNNNNNNNNNNNNNNNNNNNNNNNNNNNNNNNNNNNNNNNNNNNNNNNNNNNNNNNNNNNNNNNNNNNNNNNNNNNNNNNNNNNNNNNNNNNNNNNNNNNNNNNNNNNNNNNNNNNNNNNNNNNNNNNNNNNNNNNNNNNNNNNNNNNNNNNNNNNNNNNNNNNNNNNNNNNNNNNNNNNNNNNNNNNNNNNNNNNNNNNNNNNNNNNNNNNNNNNNNNNNNNNNNNNNNNNNNNNNNNNNNNNNNNNNNNNNNNNNNNNNNNNNNNNNNNNNNNNNNNNNNNNNNNNNNNNNNNNNNNNNNNNNNNNNNNNNNNNNNNNNNNNNNNNNNNNNNNNNNNNNNNNNNNNNNNNNNNNNNNNNNNNNNNNNNNNNNNNNNNNNNNNNNNNNNNNNNNNNNNNNNNNNNNNNNNNNNNNNNNNNNNNNNNNNNNNNNNNNNNNNNNNNNNNNNNNNNNNNNNNNNNNNNNNNNNNNNNNNNNNNNNNNNNNNNNNNNNNNNNNNNNNNNNNNNNNNNNNNNNNNNNNNNNNNNNNNNNNNNNNNNNNNNNNNNNNNNNNNNNNNNNNNNNNNNNNNNNNNNNNNNNNNNNNNNNNNNNNNNNNNNNNNNNNNNNNNNNNNNNNNNNNNNNNNNNNNNNNNNNNNNNNNNNNNNNNNNNNNNNNNNNNNNNNNNNNNNNNNNNNNNNNNNNNNNNNNNNNNNNNNNNNNNNNNNNNNNNNNNNNNNNNNNNNNNNNNNNNNNNNNNNNNNNNNNNNNNNNNNNNNNNNNNNNNNNNNNNNNNNNNNNNNNNNNNNNNNNNNNNNNNNNNNNNNNNNNNNNNNNNNNNNNNNNNNNNNNNNNNNNNNNNNNNNNNNNNNNNNNNNNNNNNNNNNNNNNNNNNNNNNNNNNNNNNNNNNNNNNNNNNNNNNNNNNNNNNNNNNNNNNNNNNNNNNNNNNNNNNNNNNNNNNNNNNNNNNNNNNNNNNNNNNNNNNNNNNNNNNNNNNNNNNNNNNNNNNNNNNNNNNNNNNNNNNNNNNNNNNNNNNNNNNNNNNNNNNNNNNNNNNNNNNNNNNNNNNNNNNNNNNNNNNNNNNNNNNNNNNNNNNNNNNNNNNNNNNNNNNNNNNNNNNNNNNNNNNNNNNNNNNNNNNNNNNNNNNNNNNNNNNNNNNNNNNNNNNNNNNNNNNNNNNNNNNNNNNNNNNNNNNNNNNNNNNNNNNNNNNNNNNNNNNNNNNNNNNNNNNNNNNNNNNNNNNNNNNNNNNNNNNNNNNNNNNNNNNNNNNNNNNNNNNNNNNNNNNNNNNNNNNNNNNNNNNNNNNNNNUUGAAGACUAAUGAUAAUUUGUUGUAUAUUAUCUUAGUCAUAAUAUUCUUUACUGGGCUAGUUGAGCUCACCCUUUUCCUUUUUGUUCCAUUUUUCUUCUCAGGAGGUGAGAACAUAGCAGGAUCUAGUCGGGGUAUGGAGUGAUGGUUCUAAAAAGAUGUUUUAGCAGUCCUCACUAUUUCUGUAAAAUAAUGUAUGAAUAAUUGUAAUGAGGACUUAUUUGAGUGUGGAUAUUGUCUAGAAGACAAUAUUUGUAAUUAAACUCACAGUAUGUGUUGUUGUAUUUUGCACGACAAUUGUAUUAUUGAAGUUUUAGUUUGCUUUCUGUACCAUGUAUUUGGCGACUCAGGAUGGGUGUUGUAUACCUAUUUUGGGGGCUUCAUAGUUGGUAUCAAAGCUUAGGGAUAUGAUCCCUGGCUGAGAUGUGAGAAUAGAACUAAGAGGGGAGAGAUGAGUAAAUCCUUCGUUAGUGUGUCGUACAUAAGCUUAUCUGUUGGUCGGUCAUAAUAUAGGGAUAUUAUGUGAUAUGUUAAUUUGUUUAAUUAACCCUUGUUUUAUGGCAGCAUUUAAGAAUGGCAGCUGUGAACGUUAACAAUGGAGUGUAUGAGACUGUGGAAACACCUUUAGUCACCAAUCAGGAGAACGUGCAACAGGAUGGCAAUAUUCCUCCUAUAAAUAACACUAACGAGCAAACGAUGAAUAAUAAGAUGUUUAGAAACUUUUUUGUAUUUCAUGCAAAAUCAGACGAGGGAGACUCGUGUACAAAAUACGGGUCGAAAUGAUAGCAACGCGUGGUUUGUCACAGCCAAGCAGUUCAAGGAGUAGGGACCACCAGAAUUCUUUGGAAAGUCGGAUCCAAUUAAGGCAGAAACGUGGGUCAAGCAAAUUACCAAGAUAUUCGAUGUCCUGGGAUGCACGAAGGAACAAAAGGUUCCAUUCGCCACCUUUAUGUUUCGUGGUGAGGCAGAUUACUGGUGGGAAUCUGUGAAGCGUACCCAGCUUGCCGCACUCAAUAUGUCUUGGGAAAUGUUUCAGAAACUGUUCAAUGACAAGUACUUUCCUGAAAGUAUUCGUCACAUGAAGGAGGUAGAGUUCAUCAAGCUGGAGCAAAAUAAUAUGAACGUGUCGCAGUACGAAGCUAAGUUUUCCGAGUUGUCCCGAUUUGCAUCCCAUUUUGUUGAUAAUGUGGAGAGAAUGACGCGAAUGUUUCUGCGAGGUUUGAAACCCGAAAUACAUCAAUACCUCAUUUCCCACAAACUUUGUUUAUAUUCAGUGUUGUGAAUAGGGCUCAGUUAUUGGAGCGCGAUAAUGAGUCAGCUCAAUCGAAGAAUAACGACCAACAACUCGAUGAUAAUCGUACCGGUGGCAGCGGUCAUCGAAACAAUGAUAACCAUUAUGGAGGAAAUUAUCAUGCCAGAAAUGGUAACCACUUCGGUGGUAAUCAUGGCCAAGAUAAUAGAAGAAAUAACUCAAGUUGAAAUUUUAAGAAGAGAAGAUUCAACAAUGAUGGAAAGACAUCAAUGCCAGCACCAGCACCAGCAACAAAUUUUAGGUGAGGAGAACGACCGCCAGUUAGAUGUUAUAAAUACGGAGAAGGGGGACAUAUAAGUCCAAACUGUUCACAGCCUUUUAAGGUGUGUUUCAAUUGUGGAAAAGAUGGUCAUAUAGCCCGAUUUUAUCCGGUAGCGAGUCAAGUCCAGCAGGGACGGUGGCACCAAAGGCGGAUACGGACAAAACAAAGUCGGCGGUUUAUGGAAGAGUGUUUUUCAUGACUGCCCAAAACGCGAGGAACCUGAACGAAGGUAUCACGUGUUAGUUAAUUAUAAAUUCUUGCAAAAUCUAUACCAUAUUAGAUACCGGUUCUACCCACUCUUUUAUUUCUCCUGCUUGUGCUCAAUGUUUAAACUUGACUCCGGAGAAAUUAGACUUUGACUUAUCUGUGGAGACUCCGUUAGGAGAAACUUUUAUCACAUCCACUGUUUAUAAAUCUUGAUUAAUCCAAGUUAGCACAAUGACAUUACCUGUUGAUCUUAUCUCUUUAAAGAUACUUGCAUUUAACGUGAUUUUAGGGAUUGAUUGGUUGACCACUUAUCAUGCCAAAAUUGAUUGUUUUCGUAAGGUUGUUAGUUUUCAUAUUCCUAUCCAACCUAUUAUGCGAACUCAAGCAACCAAACUAUUGAAGUCAGACACUUUCAUAUCAAGCCAUAAAGUCAUUCGUUUAUUGAAAAACGGAUGUCAAGCUUUCUUAGCCCAUGUUAUGGAUUUGAAUAAAGACACGUCAGAUUUGAAUAAAAAUUUUGUUGUUAGUGAAUUUCCUGACGUAUUUCCUGAAGAAUUUCUUGGCCUACCCCCAGAGUGUGAUAUUGAAUUUUGUAUCGACUUUGAACCCACUACAAAACCCAUUUCUAAAAUCUUUUAUCGAAUGGCUCCUAUUGAACUUCAGGAGUUUAAAACCCAAGUACAAGAGUUGGUACUCAAGCCUCUAUCUGGUGACUUCCUUUGUAGAAUGCACCAAAGCCAGACUCUCCGUAGGGAACUCUAUAUUUUUGUGGUGGUAAAACGAUAGGUGCCAUUGUGACGUAUAAUCCAAGAUUGGGAUAUGAAUCACAUAUGAGAGCAACUUAAGUCAGUAAUCGAAAUAUCUAGCUUUCUAGGCUUAAUUGGUUACUAUCGGAGAUUAAUGGAAGGACUUUCUCGAAUCGCUAUUCCAUUAACUUAGCUAACUCGGAAAGAUACAAAAUUCGUAUUGAGCGAGGAAUACGAGAAGAUUUUCUAAGAGUUCAAGAGGCGACUCAUUUCGGCACUUGUUCUGACCAUACCAUCCUGGAAAAGCGAACGUGGUAGCUGACGCGUUGAGUAGAAGAUCGUACGCAAGUACGAGUGCGAUAUUGUUGAGCACAAAGACCUAUUUUGUAUAAUUUACAAAUGAUAGAGAUAGAGUUAAAGACUCUAGGGACCCACGUGAUGAUAUACGAGUAGAAUCGACUUUAAUCGAUAAAGUUAAAACUACUCAAGCUACGGACCUGGGGCUGAUGCGUAUGAAGAAGAAAGUGCAAGAAGGAUGUAAGACCCCAACUUAUUAUAAAUAAAAUCAAAUUUCCUCUAUUUAUUAUUUUGAAAUAGUAAGGGGUGAUUUGAUUAAUGUGGUUAGUUAUGGGUAAAAUGCGCAAAUAUUUCAAAUAUGCAAGUGGUUAUAAAAUAUUCAUUUUUAUCGGAGAAUAUUCGUUUGGUCGUGGAAUAUUCUUACUGUCGGGGAAUAUUCGUACGACGGCGCAGCCUUGUGUGGACCCCAUAACGAAAAGCGAUUGGAUGAAGAAAACGACAAGUAUAAGUUGUUUAUAAAUAACGGCGUAGUUGUUACCGUUAAUACUGUUGGAAUACCCGGUGGUUAAAACACAGUAGCACACAGUAUUUCACCAAUUAUUGAUUCUUACGUAGGAAGGCAUUACUCAAUAAUUUUUACAGUAGUUACUGUUCAAUAUUUUAUUUUAUUGAAUCAAUAAUUGCUACGUUGAUAUUUUAUAUUAUUAUUGUUUCAAUAAUUGUCACUACACAGUAUUUUCAUUAUCAGAUCAAUAAUUCAUAUUAUUUGAAUAAUAUUAUUAGAUAACAUUAUUGGCAAUGUCUAGAAAGUUCUGUCUAAUGAGAGGUUUGGUCACCUAAUUGCACGCCAGUAAGGAGAAAUCCUUAUUGAAAAGCCCCCUCUUUCCUGGGAACGGCCUGGUUGUUGAUAUUGUGAUUUUGUAAUAUUAUUUGUGAAUAAUUAACUAUUGGUUUAUAUGAUAAGGAAAAUAUUCAAUUUAUGUGGAUAUAGAUGGAGAAAAUUUUAAAGUGACAAUUGUUGAAAAAUUGAUAUUUUAUCUUUUCUGAUAAAAUAAUUCAUUUAAAUAUAUUACUAUAUUUUAAUAAUAUAAUAAUGGUGAUAUUUUUACAAUGAAUGUGGGAUAUAUAAAUAUAUGAGGAGGAAGAAUAUUUUUGUGGGCCCAUUUCUUGACUGGAAUUUGAUUAUAGGCUGUAAAAUCGCCCGUUUAUGGAUUUCGGUCAGUUUCUGUUUGGAAUUUGGAAAAACUUUCUUCUGUAAAGUUGUAAAGAAUGAAAUUUCCUAUGAGAAAGACAUAAGGUUCAAAUUUUUCUGACAAAGGGGCUAUUUAUUAUGAAUUAUUGAAGUUUUGAAGUUCUGAAAUAAUUAAUUUUUGGAAGUUUUAAUUAUGUUUAUUAAGAAAAAUAUUUUUUUUAUUUUGUGGGCUACACUAACAUGUGCAAGAUAAGCUGAAAUUAGAUUUCAAAGAUGGGAGUGAAAGUUUUGUAAAAAUAAUAAUAUUUUAUUAAAUUUUCUGCUUUGGUGUUCUAAGCAUUUUCUUAUAAAUAGGGUGCUUAGGUUAGAAUUGAAAAUCACACCAGAAACUGAAAUUUUCUCUCUCUAUAUUAUCGAGCGUAUUCUUAUGAGUAUUUUGAGACUUUGAGUGUUACUAUACGGUGCAAGUUCCCUUCAGCACUAUAUCCGGUAUUCCAGCUAGAAGUACAGUCUUUUCAAGGUAAGGGAUAUUAUUUUUUUAAAAAAUGAUAUUAUUUCUUCUAAUAUCAUUAUGCCGGAAUAUUGGUAAGAUUUUUCUUGUGAAAUUCUUGUCUUUUAGUGUCGUGGUUACUAUUCACGUAUACGACACUAUUCACGUAUAUGACACUAUUCACGAAUACGGCACUAUUCACAAAAAAAUAAAAAUUUCAUUUUUUGUCCAAAAUAUCUAUUAUGGAUACUAGCUUUGAUUGUAUCCAUGUUUUUAUCAUUUUUGAAUUUUACUUCACUACGGCUAUUUAUGACGUAUUUUUGAACUCGGAUUGCUUAAAGUACGAAUCCUUAAUAUUUAUUCUUUUGUUUCACUGGAUUCGUUUUCUUUAAAAUAUUUUUCAUCAUCCUCAGUCCUAAAUGAUGGUAUUACUGAAUAUCUUUGGCAUGUAGUGCAAAGAUGGUUGAUUUUCUUAUGAAUAUCUUUGGCCCGUAGUGCAAAGAUGUACAGGUGUUGAGAUGAACAUGACCGACUGAUGAAUAUCUUUGGCCUGUAGUGCAAAGAUGAAUAUUUGAUUCAAGAUGAAUAUUGAUUGAUGUUACAGGGAUAAAAUAUUGAUGAUGGACUUUUAAAUUCAUAGAUAAUAGUAUAUUUCAUUCUCUACGUAACUCAUCUAUGAAUUAUUAUUUUCGCUGCAAAUAUUGAUCUGAAACUUGUUGUCUAUUGUAUUUUAUCAGAUUUUUCCCUGUUGAAGACUAACGAUAAUUUGUUCUAUGUUNNNNNNNNNNNNNNNNNNNNNNNNNNNNNNNNNNNNNNNNNNNNNNNNNNNNNNNNNNNNNNNNNNNNNNNNNNNNNNNNNNNNNNNNNNNNNNNNNNNNUGCGUUGAUAUUUUAUAUUAUUGUUGUUUCAAUAAUUGUCACUGCACAGUAUUUCCCAUUAUCAGAUCAAUAAUUCAUAUUAUUUGAAUAAUAUUAUUAGAUAGCAUUAUUGGCAAUGUCUAGAAAGUUCUGUCAAGGAGAGGUUUGGUCACCUAAUUGCGCGCCAGUAAGGAGAAAUCCUUAUCGGAAAGCCCCCUCUUUCCUGGGAACGGCCUGGUUGUCAUAAUUGUGAUUUUGUAAUAUUAUUUGUGAAUAAUUAAUUAUUGAUUUAUAUGAUAAGGAAAUAUUUAUUUGAUACGGAUAUAAAUGAUGGAUUUAUUUAUUUUAUGUGGUUAUAAAUGAAGGAGUUAAUGUUGAGGUGUUUUAUCAGUAUUUUUAUCGAAAUGGAGGUAUUAAAAAUCAAAUCAGUAUUUUUACGAUAUAUUGCGUGAGUUAUAAUUUUUAAUUUGACCGUUGGAUCAUUGUGAUUUUUUGAUAUGUUAUACAUAUAUAAGUUGAGUAUAUGUCCAUAAAUUUUGAACCGUUAAAAAUGAACGAAUGAUUUGUUAUGAAUUUUAAGAGGUGACUUAUUCAGAAAUUAGGUUUAUAAUUGAUUUUGGUAGAAAAUUCUAGAAUUGAGUGGGCCCCACUUGUGGUUGGUAAAGAAAUGUGCUGAAUUUUAUUUCAAAUGCGGUGGGUGGCAAUAGUAGCAGGUAAAGCCAUCAGGUAGCAGGUCAAGUCUGCUUCGGCGUGCUAACAUUUUCCUAUAAAUAGAGGGCUAAGUUAGAAUUGAAAAUCACGCCAGAAACAUAAGCUUUCUCUCUUUCUCUCUCUAUAUUAUCGAGCGUAUUUUGUGAGUAUUUAGAUAUUUUGAGAGUUGUUGUUUAGUACAAGUUUCAUUCAGCAUAACUUCCGACCUUUCAUUCUGAAGUACUAUUUUUUUGAGGUAAGGGAUGCUAUUUUCUUCUUAAAUGAUAUUAUUUUCUUCAAUAUCAUUAUGCCGAAUUAUUGGUUUGAACUUUUUAAUCAAAUUUGGAACUUUUUGUGUCGGGGUUACUAUUCACGUAUACGGCACUAUUCACGUAUACGGCACUAUUCACCGAAAAAUAAAAAUUUUCUUUUUUGUCCAAGAUGUUUAUUAUGGUUACUAUCUUUGAUUGUAUCCAUGUUUUGAUUUUUAUUUUUGAAUUCUGCUUCAAAAUUAGUUAUUAUGAAGUAUUAGUGAUCUUGGAUAAACUGUAACACGAAUCCCUAAUAUUUGUCCUUCUGUCUCACUGGAUUCGUUCUCUAAAAUGUUUUUCAUCAUCCUCAGUCCUUAAUGAUGAUAUUAUUGAAUACCUUUGGCCUGUAGUGCAAAGAUGAAUAUUCGAUUAAAGAUGUAUAUUGAUUGUUGUUACAGGGAUAAAGUAUUGAUGAUGGACUUUUAAAUCUUAGAAGAUAGUAGGACUCAUUCUCUACUUGACUCUUCUAAUGGAUUAUUGUUUCCGCUGCAGUUGUUGAUCUAAAACUUGUUGGCUAUUAUAUUUUAUCAGAUUUUUCCCUGUUGAAGACUAAUGAUAAUUUAUUGUAUAUUAUCUUAGUCAUAAUAUUCUUUACUGGGCUAGUUGAGCUCACCCUUUUCCUUUUUGUUCUAUUUUUCUUCUCGGGAGGUGAGAACAUAGCAGAAUCUAGUCGGGGUAUGGAGUGAUGGUUCUAGAAAGAUGUUUUAGUAGUCCUCACUAUUUCUGUAAAAUAGUGUUUGAAUAAUUAUGAGGACUUAUUUGAGUGUUGAUAUUGUCUAGAAGACAAUAUUUGUAUUUAAACUCACAGUAUGUGUUGUCGUAUUUUGCACGACAAUUGUAUUAUUGAAGUUGUAGUUUAUUUUCUGUACCAUGUAUUUGGCGACUCAGGAUGGGUGUUAUAUACCUAUUUUGGGGGCGUCACAUUUGACAUAUUUUUCUAUGAAGCCAUAAUUAUCUUCUUAGAGAAAAUAUUCAUUCAAGUAUACUAUUAUAAUAUAUUAUAAUAGUAUACAUUAUAAUUUAUAAUUAUUUAAAUAGUAAUUAAUAUCAAUAUAAUAUAUAUAUAUAAGCAUGUGGAGGUGAGAAGCUUUGUCUAGUACUCUUUUGUUUUUCAAAACCAGUAUGCUGCAGAUUCUUCUUCUAUAAUAUUGUGAGUAUUUUUUUGAGGAUAAGGAUACUUUGAAUGUAGUUUAUAGUGCAGGAUUUUCUCAAGAUAAUACUCGUUAUAACAGUCAGGUCUAGUUUACUACUAAGGUAAAUGCUAUUAUUUUUCUCGUAAAGGAUGUUAUUUUCUUUCAACAUUCGUAAAGGAUAUAUUUUUUCUCGUAAAUGAUGUUAUUUUCUUUCAACAUUCGUAAAUGAUAUUUUUUUCUUAUAAAGUAUGUUAUUUUCUUACAAUAUUCGUAAAGGAUAUUAUUUAUACUCGUAAGGAGAUAUCAUUUUCUUUCAUACUCCAUAUUAUAUAAGUGAUAUUAUUUUAUUUCAAAUUACUAUUCAUACGGUACUAUGCAUGGAUACUAUUCAUACGAUAAUAUUCAUAAGUACUAUUCACAACAGAAUUUAUUUAUUUUUUGUCUAAAUUAUUUUUGAUAUAUGAAUAUCAUUCUUGAAUUUUACUCCAUAAUUAGUUAUCAUGUUGACAAUUUGGACAUUCUUGAACUCUGAAUAAAUUGAAAUAUAAAUCUCUAAUAUUUAUCAUUGAUCUCACUUGAUUGAUUCUUUAUAUCAUUGUCAUCAUCCACAUGCUUAUAUUGUGUUGAAAGUCAUCUUUGGCUCGUAAUGCAAAGAUGGGUUGUUAAUUGGUAUGAUUAUGACCAAGAAUUGUGUAUUGGUAUUGUGACGCCCCCAAAAUAGGUCCACAACCCAUUCUGAGUCGCCAAAUACAUGGUACAAAAAACAAUUACAACUUCAUUAUUACAAUUGUCAUACAAAAUACGACAACACAUAUCUGUGAGUUUAAAUACAAAUAAUGUCUUCUAGACAAUAUUCACACUCAAAUAAGUCCUCAUUAUAAUUAUUGAUACACUAUUUUACAAAAUAAUGAGGACUGCUAAAACAACUGACUUGAAACAUUACUCCACACCCUGAGUAGUUCACGCUAUAUUCUCGCCUCCUAAGAAGAAAGAUGGAACUAAAAGAAAAAGGGUGAGCUCAACUAGCCCGGUAAAGAAUAUUAUGACUAAGAUAAUAUAGAACAAAUUAUCGUUAGCCUUCAAUAAAUCAAAUAAAAUAUAAUAGACAACAAGUUUUAGAUCAAUAUUCGCAGCGAAAAUAACAAUUCAUUAGAAGAGUUAAGUAGAUAAUGAAAUCUACUAUCUUCUAUGAUUUAAAAGUCCAUCAAUAAUAUUUUAUCCCUGUAACAUCAAUCAAUAUACAUCUUGAGUCAAAUAUUCAUCUUUGCACUACAGGCCAAAGAUAUUCAUCAGUUGGUCAUGUUCAUCUCAACAUUUGUCCAUCUUUGCAAUAUGCGCCAAAGAUAUUCAUCAGGUAAUCAUUCAUCAUUGCACUACAGGCCAAAGAUAUUCACCAUUUAGGACUAAGGAUGAUGAAAAAUAUCUUUAAAAAAAUGAAUCCAGUGAGAUAAAAUAUCAAAGAUUAGGGAUUCGUACUUUAGUUUAUCCAAGUUCAAAAAUACUCCAUAAUAAUCAAUUGUGGAGCAAAAUUCAAGAAUGAAGAUCAAAACAUAAAUACAAACAAAGAUAAUAACCAUAAUAGACAACUUGGACAAAGAAAAGAAAAUUUAAUUUUUAUGUGAAUACAGUCGUAUUCGUGAAUAGUGUCGUAUACGUGAAUAGUAACUCGGAUAAGAAAAGGGAGAAAUUUCACAAGAAAAAAUCAUACUUCGUGAAUAGUACUCGUGAAUAGUACCGUAUUCAUGAAUAGUGUCGUAUACUUGAAUAGUAACCUCAAAAUGAAAAGAUAAAAAUUUCAUAAUAAAAAUCAUACCAAUAUUUUGGUAUAAUGAUAUUGAAAGAGUAACAUCAUUUACGAAGAAAAUAACAUCCCUUACCUCAAAAGAAUAGUACUUCUAACUGAAAUAUCAAAUAUAAUGUUGACGAAAACUUGCACUGCUUAUCAACUCUCAAAGUAUCUAAAUACUCACAAAAAUAUGCUCAAUAUUAUUGAAAAAGAAUUCUCUGAUUCUAGUGUGAUUUUCAUUUCUAAACUAAGCAUCCUAUUUAUAAGAGAAUGGAAGGAUACUAUUUAAAAAAAUUUCACGGACCAACAGUUGUUGGAAUUCACGAGCUGCUACCUGCUGAUCAUCAGACGCCCAACUUUCAAAUUAUUCAAAUAAAACAACUUAUGUCAUUAUCACUUUUCCACCACCACCAUUUUUCACCACACACACACUCACACACACACACACACACGGCACACACACACAUGUUUUCAAAUUCCACCCACCCCACAUUUCAUCCAAUAUAUGGGCUCACCAUAUUAUAUAUAUAUAUAUAUAUAUAUAUAUAUAUAUAUAUAUACCCCCUCCAUUACACGUUUUCUCCCCCAUCCCAUUUUCAUUUUUCAUCCCACAUGUGGGCCCCACCCCACAUGUCACUUUCACACACAUAUAUUAUAUAUAUAUACUGAAUAAUUUUAUACCGAUUAUUUUGAAAAAUGGGUAAAUGGGGGUCCAAAUAAUAAGCAAAAUUUACAACAAAUACUUCAUAAAAAAUCCCUUCAAUAUUUUUAACAAUAUUUAUUCAUCAUUAUUAUAACUCGCAAUAUUAACAACCAAAUUGUUCCCAGGAGAGAGGAGGAUUUUCGAUAAGGAUUUCUUCCUAUUGGCACACAAUUAGGUGACCAAACCCCCUUUUCUCGACAGAACUUUCUAGACAUUGUUAAUUAUGCAAAUAAUAAUAUGAAUAACUUAUCAUCUCAAUUAUUGAUUUAAUAAUAUAAAAUAUUGUAACAAUAAUUGAAUCAAAUAAUGUGAGAUACUAUGCAGCAAUUACUGUAGAAAUAAUUGAAUAAAACUAAGUGACUUCUCACAUAAGCAUCAAUAAUCAAUACUGUGUACUACUAUGCACCCACGCAUAUUACUGUACUUUUAUCACCGACAGUGUUAACGAUAACAACUACGCCGUUAUUUAUAAAAAAAAUCUCAUACUUGUCGUUUUCUUCAUCUGACAUGUUUUCGUUAUGGGACCUACAAAUGGUUGCGCCGUCGUACGAAUAUUCCUCGACAACAAGAAUAUUCCACGACCAAACGAAUAUUCCCCGACAAUAAUGAAUAUUUUAUAACCACUUGUUUAUUUUACAAAAUUUACACAUUUUACCCAUAACUAAUCAAAUCCACCCCUUACUAUUUCAAAAUAAUGAAUAGAGGAAAUUCAAUUUUAUUUAUAAAAAGUUAUGGUCUUACAGGUAUAAUCAUGAUCUUUAAUGUUACAGAUAAAGGUUUGUGAUGAAAGUCCUAUUUGGCCCGUAGUGCAUAGAUGGACAAGUGUUUGGCAUGAUCAUGAUCACUCGUGAUGUAAACAAUUAUAUUUAGCCCGUAGUGCAUAGAUAAUUCGUUGAUUGGAAAUAAUUAUUGAUUGGUGUUACAGGGAUAAAAUAUAGAUGAUGGACUUUUAAAUCAUAGACGAUGGUAGACAUCAUACUCUACUUGACUCUUCUAAUGGAUUGGUAUUUUCGCUGCAGUUGUUAAUCUAAAACGUGUUGCUAUUGUAUUUAAUCAGAUUUGUGGGCCUAUUCACCUAAGGUUUCUAGAACGUAUUCAAGGAGAUAUUUGUGGGCCUAUUCACCCACCAAGUGGACCAUUUAGAUAUUUUAUGGUUUUAAUAGAUGCAUCUACGAGAUGGUCACAUGUGUGCUUAUUAUCAACUCGCAACCUGGCGUUUGCGAGAUUACUUGCUCAAAUUAUUAGAUUAUGAGCACAAUUUCCAGAUCAUGCAAUCAAGACUAUUCGUCUUGAUAAUGCUGGUGAAUUCACAUCCCAAACAUUUAAUGAUUAUUGUAUGUCUCUUGGGAUAAAUAAUGAACAUCCUGUUGCCCAUGUUCAUACUUAGAAUGGUCUUGCUGAAUCAUUUAUUAAACGCCUCCAGUUAAUUGCAAGACCAUUGCUCAUGAGAACAAAACUUCCUGUAUCUGUUUGGGGGCAUGCUAUUUUACAUGCAGCAACACUUAUUCGCAUUAGGCCAACAUCAUAUCAUAAAUUUUCCCCAUUACAAUUGGUUUUUGGUCAUGAGCCAGAUAUUUCCCAUCUAAGAAUAUUUGGUUGUGCAGUAUAUGUUCCAAUUUAUCCUCCACAACGCACAAAGAUGGGUCCUCAAAGGAGGCUGGGAAUAUAUAUUGGGUUUGAGUCCCCAUCAAUAAUUAAAUAUCUUGAACCCUUAACAAGUGAUUUAUUUACAACACGAUUUGCCGACUGUCAUUUUGAUGAGACUAUGUUCCCAGCAUUAGGGGGAGAAAUUAAACAGCUGGAUAAAGAUAUUACAUGGAAUGCAUUGUCAUUAUUGAAUUUUGAUCCUCGUACAAAACAAUGUGAACAAGAAGUUCAAAAGAUACUUCGUUUGCAAAAUAUAGCAAAUCAGCUACCAAAUGCAUUCACUGACUCAAAAGGAGUAACCAAAUCUCAUAUACCAGUUGUAAAUGCUCCAGUUCGGAUUGAAGUCCCAAUAGGACAAUCCACAAAAAUUGUAGCAAAUGAGUCUAAGGCACGCCAAAAGCGUGGUAGACCAAUCGGUUCGAAAGACAAAAACCCUCGAAAAAGAAAAGAAUUAAAUAGACAAGUUGGCAUUAUUGGGGAGGAAAAUAUUCAUGAGGAUAUAGACAUAGCUAAUCAUAAAACCCCAGAAGAGGUUCAGAUACCUGAAAACAAUAAAAAUGAUGAGAUCUCGAUAAGUUAUGUCUCUACAAAGAAAAGAUGGAACCGAAGUGAGAUAGUUGUUGACAACAGUUUUUCAUAUAAUAUAUCGCUUGAUAUCAUUAAUGAAAACGAGGAUUCUGAGCCUAAUUCUGUCGAAGAAUGUAGACACAGAAAUGAUUGGCCAAAAUGGAAAGAAGCAAUACAGGCUGAAUUAAAUUCACUUGCAAAACGUGAAGUUUUUGGACCUGUAGUCCAAACACCCAAAGAAGUAAACCCAGUUGUGUGACACCCCCAAAAUAGGUAUACAACACCCAUUCUGAGUCGCCAAAUACAUGGUACAGAAAGCAAACUAUAACUUCAAUAAUACAAUUGUCGUGCAAAAUACGACAACACAUACUGUGAGUUUAAAUACAAAUAUUGUCUUCUAGACAAUAUCCACACUCAAAUAAGUCCUCAUUACAAUUAUUCAUACACUAUUUUACAGAAAUAGUGAGGACUGCUAAAACAUCUUUCUAGAACCAUCACUCCAUACCCCGACUAGAUCCUGCUAUGUUCUCACCUCCUGAGAAGAAAAAUGGAACAAAAAGGAAAAGGGUGAGCUCAACUAGCCCAGUAAAGAAUAUUAUGACUAAGAUAAUAUACAACAAAUUAUCAUUAGUCUUCAACAGGGAAAAAUCUGAUAAAAUAUAAUAGACAACAAGUUUUAGAUCAACAACUGCAGCGGAAACAACAAUCCAUUAGAAGAGUCAAGUAGAGAAUGAGUUCUACUAUCUUCUAAGAUUUAAAAGUCCAUCAUCAAUAUUUUAUCCCUGUAACAACAAUCAAUAUACAUCUUUAAUCAAAUAUUCAUCUUUGCACUACAGGCCAAAGAUAUUCAUUUGUAUCACCAGUUGGUCAUGUUCAUCUCAACACCUGUUCAUCUUUGCACUACGGGCCAAAGAUAUUCAUCAGUUAAUCAUUCAUCUUUGCACUACAGGCCAAAGAUAUUCAGUAAUAUCAUCAUUUAGGACUGAGGAUGAUGAAAAAUAUUUUAAAGAAAAUGAAUCCAGUGAGACAGAAGGACAAAUAUUAGGGAUUCGUAUAACAGUUUAUCCAAGAUCAAUAAUACUUCAUAAUAACCAAUUGUGAAGCAGAAUCAAAAAUAAAGAUCAAAACAUGGAUACAAUCAAAGAUAGUAACCAUAAUAGACAUCUUGAAUAAAAAGAAGAAAAUUUCAUUUUUUGGUGAAUAGUACCGUAUUCGUGAAUAGUGUCGUAUACGUGAAUAGUGUCGUAUACGUGAAUAGUAACCCCGACACAAAAAGGUAGAAAUUCCACAAUAAAAUUCAUAUCAAUAUUUCGGGAUAAUGAUAUUGAAAGAAUAACAUCAUUACGAAAAAAACAACAUCCUUUACCUCAAAGAAAUAGUACUUCGAAAUGAAAGGACGGAAGUGAUGCUGAAUGAAGCAACUCUCAAAGUAUCCAAAUACUCACAAAAUAUGCUCAAUAAUAUAUAUAGAGAGAAAGCUUAUGUUUCUGGUGUGAUUUUUAAUUCUAACUUAGCCCUUUAUUUAUAGGAAAAUGUUAGCACGCCGAAGCAUACUUGACCUGCUACCUGAUGGCUUUACCUGCUACUAUUGCCACCCACCGCAUUUGAAAUAAAAUUCAGCACAUUUCUUCACCAACCACAAGUGGGGCCCACUCAAUUCUAGAAUUUUCUACCAAAAUCAAUUAUAAACCUAAUUUCUGAAUCAGUCACCUCUUAAAAUUCAUAACAAAUCAUUCAUUCAUUUUUAACGGUUCAAAAUUUAUGGACAUAUACUCAACUUAUAUAUGUAUAACAUAUCAAAAAAUCACAAUGAUUCAACGGUCGAAUUAAAAAUUAUAACUCACGCAAUAUAUCGUAAAAAUACUUAUUUGAUUUUUAAUACCUCCAUUCUGACAAAAAUACUGAUAAAACACCUCAACAUUAAUUCCUUCAAUUAUAACCACAUAAAAUAAAUAAAUCCAUCAUUUAUAUCCGCAUCAAAUAAAUAUUUCCUUGUCAUAAAAAUCAAUAAUUAAUUAUUCACAAAUAAUAUUACAGAAUCACAAUUAUGACAACCAGGCCGUUCCCAAGAAAGAGGAGGCUUUCCAAUAAGGAUUUCUCCUUACUGGCGCGCAAUUAGGUGACCAAACCUCUCCUUAGAUAGAACUUUCUAGACAUUGCCAAUAAUGUUAUCUAAUAAUAUUAUUCAAAUAAUAUGAAUUAUUGAUCUGAUAAUAGGAAAUACUAUGCAGUAACAAUUAUUGAAACAACAAUAAUAUAAAAUAUUAACGCAGCAAUUAUUUAAUCAAUAUAAUAAAAUAUUAAAAAGUAAAUACUGUAACAAUUAUUGAGUAGUGCCUUCUUACGUAAGAAUCAAUAAUUCAAAAAUACUGUGCAAUACAGUGUGCUACUGCGCAACCACGCGUAUUACUGUAUUUUACCCACCGGUUAUUCCAACAGUGUUCACGGUAACAACUACGCAGUUAUUUAUAAAAACUUAAACUUGUCGUUUUCUUCAUCCGACAGUUAUUCUAUUACAAAUGGCUGCGCCUUCGUAUGAAUAUUCCCCGACAACAAGAAUAUUCCACGACCAAAUGAAUAUUCCCCGACAAAAAAUGAAUAUUUUAUAACCACUUGCUUAUUUUGUAAAAUUUGCACAUUUCACUCAUAACCAAAGUAUUAUAUCAAAUUAACUCCUUAUUAUUUCAAGAUAAUAAAUAGAGAAAAUUUAAUUUUUAUUCAUAAUAAGAUGGGGUCUUACAACCUCCCCUCCUUAUGAAAUUUCGUCCUCGAAAUUGACGUACGUACCUGGUGUUUUGAAAAGGUGAGGGUACCUCGUUUUCAUUUUUGAUUCUAACUCUCAAGUCAUUUCCUCAAUAACAUGGUUCCUCUACAAAACCUUGACUUGUGGUAUAACCUUUGUUCGUAGGAUAUGCUCUUUUCUAUCCAAUAAUUUGACAGGUACCUCCUCGUACGUUAAAUCUUCGGCUAUCUCGUCUGGUUCUAACGCAAUAAUGUGGUUUGGAUCUUUCACAUAUUUACGAAGCAUAGAUAUGUGAAAAACAUUAUGAACACGAGACAUACUUGGAGGUAAUGCGAGUCUAUAGGCCACAUUUCCUAUUCGGUCAAGAAUCUCAAAUGGACCAACAAAUCGUGGAUUGAGCUUUCCUCUCUUCCCAAAUCUUGUAACUCCCUUCCAUGGAGCAAUACGUAACAGUACAUGAUCUCCAAUAUUAAAUUCCACGUCCUUUCGAUGAAGAUCAGCAUAACUCUUUUGUCGAUCUUGUGAGGUCUUUAUACGUUGCCUGAUCAUUUGAAUCUUUUCUGUAGUCAUGCGUACUAAUUCUGGUCCCAACAACAUUGCUUCUCCCACCUCAUCCCAACAUACUAGAGAACGACUCUUUCGUCCAUAUAACGCCUCGAAUGGAGCCAUGCCUAUACUUGCUUGAUAACUGUUGUUGUAGGAGAAUUCCACCAGUGGCAAGUACUUAUCCCAACUUCCUUUAAAAUCUAGGACACAGAGUCUUAAUAGAUCUUCAAGGGUUUGAAUAGUCCUUUCUGAUUGCCCGUCCGUUUAAGGAUGGUAUGCCGAACUGAAUCGUAAAUUCGUGCCCAUAGCUUUCUGCAAGCUAAUCCAAAAUUGUGAAGUGAAUCUUGGGUCACGAUUCGAAACUAUGGAUACUGGCAUGCCAUGCAAUUGCACAAUCUCAUUCACGUACAUACGAACAAGACGUUCAAGGGAAUAAGUCUCACGUAUCGGCAAGAAAUGAGCAGACUUGGUUAAUCUAUCAAUAAUAACCCAAAUCGCAUCUAUACCUUGAGAAACAUUGGGAAGACCCGUAACGAAAUACAUGGUAAUGUGUUCCCACUUCCAUUCCGGAAUCUCAAGUGGUUGCAAUGGAUUUUUAUGCACUUGAUGCUCCGCCUUUACACGUUGACAGGUUAAACACCUCGAGAUAAACUCCGCGAUCUCUCUCUUCAUAUUGUUCCACCAAAAUGUAUGUCGAAUAUCAUGAUACAUUUUGGUACUCCCAGGAUGGAUUGCAAACGGGGUAUUGUGUGCCUCCAUCAUGAUUCUAUGCUUCAAGUCAGAAUCGUUAGAAACGCAAAGUCUAGAGUUGACUCGAAGUAUUCCUUCUUCAUCGAUUCUUGCUUCUAGAAUAGCUCCUUCUUGCACUUUAUUCUUCAUACGCAUCAGCCCUAGGUCCGUAGCUUGAGCAGCUUUAACUUUAUCGAUUAAAGUCAGUUCUACUCGUAUAUUCGCCAUCAUCACGUGGGUCCCUAGAGUCUUUAAUUCUAUCUCCAUCCUUUGCAAGUCAUACAAAAUGGGCCUUUGUGUUGACAAUAUCGCACUCGUACUCGUAUAUAAUCUUCUACUCAAUGCGUCAGCUACUACGUUCGCUUUUCCAGGAUGAUAGUGAAUAGUGUGAUCGUAAUCUUUCAACAGCUCAAGCCAACGUCGUUGCGACAUGUUGAGUUCUUUUUGGGUGAAGAAAUAUUUGAGGCUUUUAUGGUCCGUAUAAAUCUCCACUUUCUCCCCAUACAAGUAGUGUCUCCAAAUUUUCAACAUGAAUACGACUGUUGCCAACUCUAGAUCAUGAGUAGGAUAAUUCCUCUCAUAUUCUUUGAGUUGUCAUGAGGCAUAGGCUAUGACUUUCCUAUGUUGCAUGAGAACACAUCCUAACCCUUUGCCUGAAGCAUCGUUGUAGAUAACAAAUCCAUAUGACCCAGAUGGUAUUGCCAGAACAGGUGCCGAAAUGAGUCUCCUCUUGAGCUCUUGGAAACUCUUCUCGCAUUCAUCGCUCCAUACAAAUUUUGUAUCUUUCCGAGUUAGCUGAGUUAACGGAAUAGCGAUUCGAGAAAAUCCUUCCAUGAAUCUCCGAUAAUAACGAGCUAAGCCCAGAAAGCUGCGUACUUCAAUCACCGACUUCGGUUGCUCCCAACUUUGUAUUGCUUCAAUCUUCGUCGGGUCAACAGAUACUCCAUGUUUUGACACCACGUACCCAAGGAAUGCUACUACCUCAAGCCAGAACUCGCAUUUCUUCAGCUUGGCAUAAAGCUUGUUUUCACGAAGCCUUUCAAGUAUCAACUUCAAAUGGUGUUCAUGAUCUUCACGGCUUUUGGAAUAGAUGAGGAUGUCAUCAAUAAAGACAACAACGAACUGAUCUAAAUAUUCCUUGAAUACAUGGUUCAUCAUAUCCAUGAAAGCAGCAGGAGCAUUAGUCAAUCCAAAAGACAUGACUAAGAAUUCAUAAUGCCCGUACCGAGUUCUGAAGGCAGUCUUUGGAAUAUCCUCAGUUUUAAUCUUCAGCUGAUGAUAUCCAGAACGAAGAUCGAUCUUUGAAAAAAAUUGUGUUCCUUGCAACUGGUCGAACAGGUUAUCAAUGCGAGAUAACAGAUACCUAUUCUUGAUGGUGACAUGGUUUAAUUCUCGGUAGUCAAUACAAAGUCGCAUACUCCCGUCUUUCUUCUUUACGAAUAAAAUAGGAGCACCCCAAGGAGAUGUACUAGGACGAAUGAAACCGAUGUCUAAUAAUUCUUGUAGUUGGACUUUUAACUCCUGAAGUUCAAUAGGAGCCAUUCGAUAUGGGGUUUUAGAAAUGGGUUUUGUACCCAGUUCAAGGUCAAUAAAGAAUUCAACAUCAUGUUCUGGGGGUAGACCGGGAAGUUCUUUAGAAAAUACAUCAGGAAAUUCUCUAACAACAGAAAUAUUAUUCAAAUCUGACUUGUCUCUGUUCAAAUCCAUAACAUGGGCUAAGAAAGCUUGACAUCUGUUUUUUAAUAAACGAAUAGAUUUGUGCCUUGAUAUGACAGUGACUGAUUUUAGUGGUUUAGUUGUUUGAAUUCGUAUGAUAGGUUAGGAAUAUGAAAACUAACAACCUUACGAAAAUAAUCAAUUUUGGCAUGAUGAGUGGUUAACCAAUCAAUUCCUAAAAUCACAUCAAAAGCAAGUAUCUUUAAAGAGUUAAGAUCAAUAGGUAAUGUGAUAGUGCCAACUUGGAUCAUGCAAGAUUUAUAAACUGUAGAUGUAACGAAGGUUUCUCCCAACGGAGUUUCAACAGAUAAGUCAAAGUCCAAUUUCUCCGGAGUCAAAUUUAAACGUUGAGCACAAGCAGGAGAGAUAAAAGAAUGGAUAGAACCGGUAUCUAGUAAGGUAUAAACUUCGCAAGAGUUCAAGAUUAGCUUACCCGUAAUCACCUCGUUCGGAUUCCUCACGUUUUGGCCAGUCACAACAAACGCUCUUCCAGGAAUCGCUGAUUUUGACUUAUCAGGGACAGCCCUUGGAGUCACCAUCCCCGCUGAACUUGGUUUCGCUAUAGUACAAUCUCGAGCGAUAUGUCUUUCCUUUUCACAAUUAUAACAUACCUUGGAUUGUUGUGGGCAGUUUGGGCUGAUAUGUCCCUCUUUCCCGCAUUUGUAACAUCUAACUGGCGGUCGUUCUCCUCCCCUAGAAUUUGUUGUUGGUGCUGGUACUGCUGCUGAUGUCUUCCCGUCAUUGUUGAAUCUCCUCUUUCUGAAAUUUCCACUUGACUCGCCUCUCCUAUUAUCAUUGCCACAAUUACCACCCAAGUGGUUACCACCUUUGUCCGUAUUUUUCCCUCCUCGCUGGUUAUUAUCGCUCUGAUGACUGCUGACACCGGUAUGACCCUGGUUGUGGUCCCUCAGUUGAGUAUACUCAUUAUCUCGCUCUAAUAAUUGAGCCAUGUUGACAACAUCUGAAUACAGAGAAAAUUUAUGAGAGAUAAGGUAUUGACGAAUCUCGGGUUUUAUACCUCUCAGAAACAUCCGCGUCAUACGUUCCUCAUUUUCUACCAAAUGAGGUGCAAACCUGGAUAACUCCGCGAACUUCGCCUCGUACUGAGACACCGUCAUGUUGUUCUGUUCCAGUCUAAUAAACUCUACCUCCUUCAUAUGACGAAUACUUUCAGGAAAGUACUUGUCAUUGAACAGUUUCUGAAAUCUUUCCCAAGACAUGUUGAGUGCGGCUGGCUGGGUACGCUUCACAGAUUCCCACCAGUAAUCUGCCUCACCACGGAACAUAAAGGUGGCGAAUGGAACCUUCUGUUCCUCCGUGCAUCCCAAGACAUCGAAUAUCUUGGUAAUUUGCUUGACCCACGUUUCUGCCUUGAUCGGAUCCGGCUUUCCAUGGAAAUCUGGUGGUCCCAACUCCUUGAACUGCUUGGCUGUGACAGACCGCGCGUUGCCAUCAUUUCCACCCGUAUUUUGUACACGAGUCUCCCUCGUCUGAUUUUGCAUGAACUGCAAAAAGCUUCUAAACAUCCCGUCGUUCAUCAUUUGCUCAGUGGCGUUGUUCACAGGAGGAACAUUGCCAGCCUGUUGCACGUUCUCCUCGUUGGUGAGUACCGGCGUCUCCACGGUCUCAUAAACUCCAUUGUUAACGUUCUCAGCAGCCAUUCUUAAAUACUGCCAUAAAACAAGGGUUAAUUAAACAAAUUAACAUAUCACAUAAUAUCCUAUAUUAUGACCGACCAACAAAUAAGCUUAGGUAGGACACACUAGCGAAGGAUUUACUCGUCUCUCCCCUCCUAGUUCUAUUCCCCGAUCUCCGCCAGAGAUCAUAUCCCUAAGCUCUGAUACCAACUGUGACGCCCCCAAAAUAGGUAUACAACACCCAUUCUGAGUCGCCAAAAUACAUGGUAUAGAAAGCAAACUACAACUUUGACAAUACAGAUGUCGUGUAGAAUACGACAAUACAACUGUGAGUUUGAAUACAAAUAUUGUCUUCUAGACAAUAUACACACCCAAAUAAGUCCUCAUUAAUUAUUCAUACACUAUUUUACAGAAAUAGUGAGGACAGCUAAAACAUCUUCCUAGAACCAUCACUCCAUACCCCGACUCGAUCCUGCUAUGUUCUCACCUCCUGAGAAGAAAAAUGGAACAAAAAGGAAAAGGGUGAGCUCAACUAGCCCAGUAAAGAAUAUUAUGACUAAGAUAAUAUACAACAAAUUAUCGUUAGUCUUCAACAGGGAAAAAUCUAAUAGAAUACAAUAGACAACAAGUUUUAGAUCAACAAAUGCAGCGGAAACAGCAAUCCAUUAGAAGAGUCACGUAGAGAAAGAAUUCUACUGUCUUCUAAGGUUUAAAAGUCCAUCAUCAAUAGUUUAUCCCUGUAAUAACAAUCAAUAUACAUCUUUAAUCAUCUUUGCACUACAGGCCAAAGAUAUUCAUUUGUAUCACCAGUUGGUCAUGUUCAUCUCAACACCUGUUCAUCUUUGCACUACAGGCCAAAGAUAUUCAUCAGUUAAUCGUUCAUCUUUGCACUACAGGCCAAAGAUAUUCAUUUAUAUCACCAUUUAGGACUGAGGAUGAUGAAAAACAUUUUUAAAGAAACGAAUCCAGUGAAACAAAAUGACAAGGAUUAAGGAUUAAGGAUUCGUACUUUGUUUUACCCAUGUCCAAAAAUACUUCGAAAAUAAUCAUAUUGGUGUAAAAUUCAAGAAUGAUCAAAACAUGGAUACAAUCAAAGCUAGUAUCCAGAAUAGAUAUUUUGGACAAAAAGAAAAAUUUUUAUUUUUCGGUGAAUAGUGCCGUAUUCGUGAAUAGUGUCGUAUACGUGAAUAGUGCCGUAUACGUGAAUAGUAACCCCGACACAAAAAGGUAGAAAUUCCACAAUAAAAUUCAUAUCAAUAUUUCGGCAUAAUGAUAUUGAAAGAAUAACAUCAUUACGAAAAAAAACAACAUCCCUUACCUCAACGAAAUAAUACUUCGAAAUGAAAGAUCAGAAGUGAUGCUGAAUGAAGCAACUCUCAAAGUAUCCAAAUACUCACAAAAUAUGCUCGAUAAUAUAUUUAUAGAGAGAGAGAGAGAGAGAGAGAGAAAGCUUAUGUUUCUGGUGUGAUUUUCAAUUCUAACUUAGCCCUUUAUUUAUAGGAAAAUGUUAGCACAUCGAAANNNNNNNNNNNNNNNNNNNNNNNNNNNNNNNNNNNNNNNNNNNNNNNNNNNNNNNNNNNNNNNNNNNNNNNNNNNNNNNNNNNNNNNNNNNNNNNNNNNNNNNNNNNNNNNNNNNNNNNNNNNNNNNNNNNNNNNNNNNNNNNNNNNNNNNNNNNNNNNNNNNNNNNNNNNNNNNNNNNNNNNNNNNNNNNNNNNNNNNNNNNNNNNNNNNNNNNNNNNNNNNNNNNNNNNNNNNNNNNNNNNNNNNNNNNNNNNNNNNNNNNNNNNNNNNNNNNNNNNNNNNNNNNNNNNNNNNNNNNNNNNNNNNNNNNNNNNNNNNNNNNNNNNNNNNNNNNNNNNNNNNNNNNNNNNNNNNNNNNNNNNNNNNNNNNNNNNNNNNNNNNNNNNNNNNNNNNNNNNNNNNNNNNNNNNNNNNNNNNNNNNNNNNNNNNNNNNNNNNNNNNNNNNNNNNNNNNNNNNNNNNNNNNNNNNNNNNNNNNNNNNNNNNNNNNNNNNNNNNCCUCUAUUUAUAGGAAAAUGUUAGCACGCCGAAGCAGACUUGACCUGCUACCUGAUGGCUUUACCUGCUACUAUUGCCACCCACCAUAUUUGAAAUAAAAUUCAGCACAUUUCUUCACCAACCACAAGUGAGGCCCACUCAAUUCUAGAAUUUUCUACCAAAAUCAAUUAUAAACCUAAUUUCUGAAUCAGCCACCUCUUAAAAUUCAUAACAAAUCAUUCGUUCAUUUUUAACGGUUCAAAAUUUGUUGACAUAUACUCAACUUAUAUAUGUAUAACAUAUCCAAAAAUUACAACGAUCCAACGGUCGGAUUAAAAAUUAUAACUCACGCAAUAUAUCUCAAAAACACUGGUUUAAUUUUUAAUACCUUCAUUCCGACAAAAAUACUGAUAAAACACCUCAACAUUAACUCCUUCAUUUUUAACCACAAUAAAUAUAUCCAACAUUUAUAUCCACAUAAAAUAAAUAUUUCCUUAUCAUAUGAAUCAAUAAUUAAUUAUUCACAAAUAAUAUUACAGAAUCACAUUUAUGACAACCAGGCCGUUCCCAGGAAAGAGGGGGCUUUCCAAUAAGAAUUUCUCCUUAUUGGCGCGCAAUUAGGUGACCAAACCUCUCCUUGACAGAACUUUCUAGACAUUGCCAAUAAUGCUAUCUAAUAAUAUUAUUCAAAUAAUAUGAAUUAUUGAUCUGAUAAUGGGAAAUACUGUGCAGUGACAAUUAUUGAAACAACAAUAAUAUAAAAUAUCAACGCAGCAAUUAUUGAAUCAAUAAAAUAAAAUAUUGAACAGUAACUACUGUAACAAUUAUUGAGUAGUGCCUUCUUACGUAAGGAUCAAUAAUUCAUCAAUACUGUGCAUCCACGCGUAUUACUGUAUUUUAACCACCGGGUAUUCCAACAGUGUUAACGGUAACAACUACGCCGUUAUUUAUAAAAACUCAAACUUGUCGUUUUCUUCAUCCGACAGUUAUUCUGUUAUGGGGCCCACAAAUGACUGCGCCGUCGUACGAAUAUUCCCCGACAACAAGAAUAUUCCACGACCAAACGAAUAUUCCCCGACAAAAAAUGAAUAUUUUAUAACCACUUGCUUAUUUUGUAAAAUUUGCACAUUUCACCCAUAACCAAAGUAUUAUAUCAAAUUAACUCCUUAUUAUUUCAAGAUAAUAAAUAGAGAAAAUUUAAUUUUUAUUCAUAAUAAGAUGGGGUCUUACAAGUUGGAUACAAAUGGGUCUUUGUGCAAAAAAGAAAUGAGAAAAAUGAAAUUGUAAGAUAUAAAACACGACUUGUGGCACAAGGGUUUUCACAAAGACCUGGCAUUGAUUACAAUGAAACAUAUUCUCCUGUGGUAGAUGCCAUUACAUUGCGAAAUCUUAUUAGCCUAGCAACUCAUGAAGAAUUAGAUAUAUGCCUAAUUUAUGUUGUUACAGCCUAUUUAUAUGGGUCAAUUAAUAAUGAUGUUUAUAUGAAAAUUCCUGAAGGAUUUAAAAUGCCUGAAGCAUAUAAUUCAAAUCCCCGGGAAGUUUGCUCAAUCAAGUUGCAAAGUUUUCUAUAUGGGUUAAAGCAAUCAGGACGCAUGUGGUACAAUCGUCUUAGUGAAUAUUUAUUGAAAGAAGGGUAUAAUAAUAACCCUAUAUGCCCAUGUGUUUUUAUAAAGAAGUCAGAAUCUGAUUUUGUUAUCAUUGCUGUGUAUGUUGAUGAUUUAAAUAUUAUUGGAACUCAUGGAGAGAUUCCAAAGACAAUGAAUUAUUUAAAGAAAGAAUUUGAGAUGAAAGAUUUAGGAAAAACAAAAUUUUGUCUCAGCCUGCAGAUCGAGCAUUUACCAAAUGGAAUUCUCAUUCAUCAGUCAACUUACAUAGAGAAAGUCCUUAAAAGAUUUUAUAUGGAUAAAACUCAUCCAUUGAGUACCCCAAUGGUUGUUAGAUCACUUGAUGUGAAAAAGGACCCUUUUAGACCUCGUGAGGAUAAUGAAGAAAUACUUGGUCCUGAAGUAGCAUAUCUCAGUGCAAUUGGUGCAUUAAUGUAUCUUGCUAAUAAUACACGACCUGAUAUAACAUUCUCUGUGAAUUUGUUAGCAAAAUAUAGCUCUUCUCCUACCCGGAGACAUUGGAAUGGGGUUAAACAUAUUUUUCGUUACCUACGAGGAACUAUAGAUAUGGGAUUAUUUUAUUCAAAUAAUAAUAAUCAUAAAUUAGUUGGAUAUGCUGAUGCAGGGUAUUUAUCUGAUCCACAUAAAGGUCGAUCUCAAACAGGUUAUCUUUUUAUGUGUGGUGAUACUGCUAUAUCAUGGAGAUCUACAAAGCAAACAUUAGUUGCCACUUCAUCUAAUCAUGCUGAAAUACUUGCAAUCCAUGAAGCAAGUCGAGAAUGUGUAUGGUUGAGAUCAAUGACUCAACAUAUUCGUGAAACAUGCAGUUUAUCCUCUAGCAAAGGAACUCCAACCAUUUUGUAUGAAGAUAGUGUUGCAUGUAUAGCUCAAUUAAAAGGAGGAUACAUCAAAGGAGAUAGAACAAAGCAUAUCUCGCCAAUUUUUUUUUUCAUACAUGACCUUGAUAAGUGUGGUGACAUUGAUGUUCAACAAAUUCGAUCAAAAGAUAAUCUAGCAGAUUUGUUCACCAAAGCAUUACCAACUGCAACGUUUGAAGGAUUGCGUCGCAAUAUUGGAAUGCGGCAGCUGAAGAACUUAAGGAUACAUUCAUAAGGGGGAGUUAAUACGCGCUGCACUCUUUUUUCCUUAACCAAGGUUUUUUUCCAUUUGAUUUUUCCUGGUAAGGUUUUUAAUGAGGCAGCUUUCAAUGCUUAUAGCUAUACAAUAGACAUCCAAGGGGGAGUGUUAUAAAAUUAUGUCUAGAUUCAUAAUAUAAUGGAUGUCUAGUAACUCCCAUGUUCAUUAAGUUUUGUAACUCGUGACUCUUUAGUUUUGUAACUUACUAGUAGUAUUGAUGAUCUUACUUCUAUAAAUAUGAAAAUUAUAAAAUGAUGGAAUGUGAUACAAAAGAUUAUGAAAAUACUCUCUUUAAUCAUCUUGUUUUAGUUAUCUUUCAUAACAUUUCAUAACAAUAUGAUUAUAUAUAAUUAAGUCACAUAAUUAACAUCACAAAUUCACAACCUACUAUAAAUAAGGAAGAAAAAACAAAUGUAGUACAAAUAAGGAGUCUAUUUAGCACUAUACUACUACACAGAACAUGUAUACAUUAAUACACCUAAUUUUAAUAUACAUGAUGACAAAAACAAAAUAUUGAUUUUAAUAAUUUAAUAUAGAACAACAUAAUUUACCCCCACUUUAUAUAAUGUAUAGUAUACUUGUUGCUAAUGAAAUUUUCACACUAGUUAAAAUCUCUAGUUUGUCUUCACCCGAACCCCCUUUGUAGCAAUUCUCUUUCUCUCCAAAGUAGUCGCCUCAGUUUCAUUCCGUUUCUUAUUCAGUUUGUAUAAUGAAGUAAAAUUAGGUCUAGCUAUUUAUUAAUUAAGUUGCCAUAAUAAACUUCUAAUUGAGUUCAAUUAAUAUUAAGGCCCAAAUUUUAACCAAAUAAUAUUAUCUAUCACUUAUUAAAAUUUAUUAGCCCGCGUAAAUUAAAUGACUACUUUGAUCCAAUUAAAAGACAAAGACCAAACAAUAUAUUUAAAUUAUAAAUAUAAAUAUUAUUUAUUUUAUUUUAUUUUUUUGGGUAUUACAAAUAGGAUAUCAAGUCCUAAAAAAAAGCAUGAGACUGGACGUAACAUACCUGGUAUGUAUGUUGUGAACCAGACAAAUUUAUGUGCAUUGUGUGAUUGAAUUCUUACUAUCUUACGUAUUAAUUUAUGACACUGCAAAUUAAUUUACUAAAAAUUCAGAAAGAUUUAAAAUAAAUUUUUAAACGAUAAUAAUCUAUUCAAUCCCCUUCUAGAUUAUUUUGUGACUUUCAAAAAUUGACAUCUCUUACCUCAGUAAGAAACUAUAUACUAUUUGUUAUGUAGGAGAUUAACUUGAAAAAUUAUUGCACUAUUAACACUACUCAGAGUAUCCUUAUACUCAAAAGAAAUACUCAUAAUAUUAUAGUAGAAUAAUUUUGCGUUUCUAGUGUGUUUUCUUUGUUUAACUAAACAACCUAUUUAUAUGAUAAUGGUAACACACCUCGUUUGAAAAAAAAAAUCGUUAGUCGAAAACUUGACACGCCAAGUUUAAAAAGCAUUCGUCUGAUUUUUUAUUAUAAUAAUAAAGUAGAUAAUUUUAUAUAUAUAAUAAUAUAUUAUAAUAAAACAAAUAACUUUAUAUAUAGUAUAAUAUAUUGUAAUAAAAUAAAUAACUUUUUAUAUAUUAUUUAUAAUAUAUAUAAAGUUUUUUUGUUUUAUUACUAUAUUAUAAUAAUGUAAUAUUAUAAUAAAAAUUUGCACGAUAAAGGAAAUUUGGGCACGCCAAGUUUGAAAAUUUGUAGGAUAAUUUUGAUUGUGAGUCCGAUAAGAAUUUAAAUAAAGUUGUGGGUCCCAUGAAAAAAUAAACUAAAUUUACAAUAAGCAUCUUAUGUUAACCCCUCUAUUUAUAUUAAAAAUUGAACAAAUAUUUACCAUACAUCACUUAUUAUACUUAUCAUUAAUCAACACCUUUUAUUCAUCAAUUAUUUAUAUAUUUUAAUUUUUCAAUAAUUAUUCACAAUUAAUAUUAUAGAGUCAAAAUACUGACAACUAGAUUGUUAUCACGAAAGAGGGGGCCUUCCGUAGAAACGACGCGCAAUUAGACAACCAUUUUCCUUGUCAUAACUCUCUGGAUAUUGCCAAUAGUGCUAACUGAUUUAAUAAUAUAAUAAUAUAAUAAUAUGAGUUACUAUGAUGUGACAAUAAUGAAUUUAAUAAUAUAAAAUACUGUGCAAUUCCUAUUGUAACAAUUAUUAAAUCAAUAGUUAUAAAAUAUUGUGUAAUACCGUGUAAUAUUUUAGGGUACCACGUGCUACUGUGGAAUAGCGCGUGUUGCUGUACUUUUAUCAUAGGAUAUUUUAAUAGUUGCAAGUGUUAGUAUCGUUGACAAAUUUUAUUAAAAAAGUUAUUUCUAUUGUUUUCGGUAUUCGACAGUUAUGUCGUUAUGGGGUUCACCAAUGAUUGAUUGUUUUGGCGCCGUCGUACUUUAUCUAAUACUCCCUCCAUUAUUUAAUAUAAGUCGUUUUAGAGAAAUAUUUUUGUUUCUUAAUAUAAGUCGUUUGAGAAUUUCAAGUAAGCAUUAAUUGCUUAAUUUUUAAUAUUACCCCAAGUAUUAAAUAUAACUUUUGUUUUCUCACUAUUUUUUGCCCAAUAAAUAACACUCUUUUUUCAAUACAAGAGCAAUAUAGACAAUUGAUAUUAUAUUUAAUGCUUUAUAAUCAUUUUCUUAAUACUUUUGCACAACUCUAAAACGACCUAUAUUAAGGAACGAAUAGAGUAUUUUCAAACAUAAUGAAUAUUCCCUGAAAGAACGAAUAUUUUUCGAAAUACUUUUUAUCUUAUAAUUUGCACACAUUACACAUAACUUUAUCGUUUUAACAAUUUAACAACUUAUUGUUUAAAAUAAUAAUUAUAAAAAAAUUUAAAUUCUAUUUAUGAAAAAUCGGGGUCUUACAAAAUCCUUUUGAAUAUAGAUAAUCCAUCAUUCAUAACCUCUAUCUAUCUGAGAUUUAUAAUAUUAAUAAUAAUACUCUCACUCAGAUGUAUAGAUUUUAUCAAAUAAUAUAACAUAGAUCAAUAACCUUAAUAUCUACUAACUUAAAUGUGACUUAAAGUCAUAGCAGAAUAAUAGUACGAUAAUUUAAUGUAUUAAUAUCAUAAAUAUUAGUGUUAUUCAAAUAAUGAGUCUGUCUAAUUACGUAACAUAUAUGUCAAAAAAUUUAAUUAUUACGAUGACAAUUAUUGGUGAAAUACUGUGCAAUUGCUAUUGUGACAAUAAUACGAAAUAAUGUGUAGAUAUUACUGUAAUAAUUAUUGAUUUAAAUUAUUAUGCAAUUGAUAGUGUAACAAUUAUUAAAUUAAUAAUAUGAAAUAUUGUGCAAUACCGCGUGCUACAAUGGAGUACCACGUAUUACUGUAGAAUACUGCGUGCUACCGUACAAUAUCGCGUACUAUUAUACUUUUAUCACCGAGUAUUUUAACAGUUAACGAUAAAAAUUCUGUCUACAAAUCCGAUAAUUACAUUAUUUGUGGGUCUUAUUUUACCCAAUAUUCUCCAAAAGAACUAAUAUUAUCUGACAUACUUUUUAUUUAUAAUUUACACAUAUCACAUUUAAUUUUAUCAUUUUAUUAAUUUAACACAUUACUAUUUAAAAUAAUAAUUAUAAAAAAUCUAAUUCUAUUUAUUAAAAGUUGUGCUAUUACCAUACAUAAAUUCUGUAUAUGUAUCCGGGAGGGAACACGUGGAAAAUAUGAAAAAGUGAAUAAUGCACCCAAAAUAAAUGAGAAAUCUGGUGUAGCCUUUUAUCACUCUACUUUACUCUUUCCAACAGAUCAAUGGCUACGUUGAUCAACAAACCCCAAACUAAAGUUAAAGGCCUCAAUAUUGCUGAAGAUGUAUCUCAGGUGAGACAAUCACCUAUUUUUUUUUUUUAUCUAAUUUACUAAAAUUAUUAUCUGGGUUGUUUCUUUUCUCAAGAUUUGACUGCCAAUUGUUCGAUUUAGCUCUACUGAUUGAAAAAGGUGUUUUUGUUGAUGUACAUUUGAUAGGUGUGGGAAUCCUCUUUCAUCGAUUGGAAUUCUAUUGUAAAGUUGAGUAGUUUGAGAUAAUGUGCUGCAUAGAUUUGAAUCAGUAUGAAUAUGAUAGUGAAUAGUGAGUGUGAAUUUGAUAUGUUGUUCUAAUUAAAUUAAGUUUUUUGAAAUAGUUUUGAUUUAUUGACUUUUUGUGUGCUUGUGUCAAUUUUGUGAUAAGUCAAUUCUUGUUGUAAGGAAUGACUAGGGUCACUAGACUCUGUUGCACUGCCUUAGAAAGAUGUUUGCGUUCUGGAUAUGAUAGUUGAAUUCUGAAAUUAUUGCAAAUUUGUGAAGUGUGGUUGUAUUAAGUUAUUGGAAAUUUGAGGGUAUAGAUGGAAUUCAAAUGUUUGUUGCUGAGAAAGGUGUCAGUAUGUUUGCUAAGCUUAUGUUGAGUUUAUUAUUUAGUUAAUAGACCAGCUAUGUUUAAUUAUCAAACUUUGGAUUCAUUUAGUUGUUCCACAGAAAAAGAAACUUGGUAGGCUGAUGAUUAUUCAUUGAGAUAUUUUUUUUUACCAAUUUUCCUACCCCCUUUCCUUAUUUUCUUAGACAGCAGACACCAUAUGAAUGAGAAGAAAAUUAAAAUUAUAAGUUAUUUAGGACAAAAUAUGGAGCUCAACUAGCAAAAAUAAAAAUGCGGAGCUCAAUUGCAUUGGGCCAACUUAACCAUGUUGCUUAGUUUAUUUUUUGUUACGACGUAGUUCUUUGUUACCCAAUAGUUCUUAUAGGAAGUAUUUGUAAUCAGUCUGCAUUGAUGCAUAUAGUGAAUCCGAGGAAAGUCAAGUAUAACUUACCUUUUAGAAUCCUCCUAUUUGCAGAUCCAGUAAGACUGAUAAGUUAAAUACAAAUUGCAAUAAUAGUUGGACCCUGAAUUCUUUUUAUAAAAUUCAUUCUUUUGUGAUAAUCAAGGAUGUGAAAGUUCAUUGGGACAUUCUAUGGAAAAAAAAUUCUAUUUAGCUGGAAGAAGGAGAAAAGAAGAUAAAAAGUGGUUUUAUAUUCUUCUAAAAGGUUGUUGCUUUGUUCAUAGGUUUUAGUUAUAAGGAUGGUAAUAGAUGCACAGACUCCACAAGGUGCUAUCUCUUGACAUCUGUGUAUGUGUUAGCAGAAUGAUGAGACACUUGUGUGGAGAUUGUGGAAUUCUAUAAUCAGUGUGCUGGGGAGGAGUGGAUUUGUCCUGGUUCGGUUGGAGAUUUCUUGUAUACUUGCUUCGGAGGUUCUGGAGGGACAAAGACCGCUAAGCUACUUUUUUGAAAGUGUUUUGAGCUUUUUUACUAUUUGGGGAAUAUGGAAUGAACAUAAUGCUAGGUUUUUCAGAGUAGCUGUUAUGUUUUGCUUUGUUGUGCGACAAGAUCAUUUUUCUUGCUUCUCUUUGGGCCUCUACCAUGGGAGCUUCUAAGGAUAUUUAAUUUUAGGGUAUUUACGUGAUUGUUCAUUUUAGAGUUUGGAAAGCUGCAAUUCUUGAGUCAUUAUUCUAUUUUCAUUUGCACUAGUUUUACGGUGGGUGGCCUCCUUGGCCUUGCUGGUAUUCUUUUUAUUCAUCUAAUAACAUAUUAUCUUUAAUCUAUGAAAAAUUUAAUAUAGUAAUAGGUCCUGCUUGUAGUGAUUAUAUUGAGGGUUAGGAUAUUAGUAUAGUGCCACAAACAAGUAGAAUUUUUGGUAAAAAAUUAACAAGGAAUGUGGAUCAACACACAUGCUACUUUUUAUUUUGACACUAUUGUCUGCUACUUAGCUAAGAAGAACAAUGCUUUUAAACUUGUUUGCUACCUUUUAAGCUAUUGUCUGCUACUCGGCUAAAAAGUAUGAUGUUUUUGUGAUCAACUUACAGGAAGCUGAGAGUCUUAUCAUUUUUGUCAUUUGGAUGAAGAAAAAUAUGAUUUUGUUUUUUCUGUUCUUUUCUAGCUUUGUUCUUCUAUUACAAAUAAAUAUUAAUGCGGUUCUGCAUAACUGUUAGUAAACUGACCCUUAUAGGUCUAAUUUUGUGAUUUUCUUUUAUUAGUUCAGUUAUAUUAUUGUGUAGGAACUGAAAAUUUUCUUUAGGAGAUUGGAGAGGUGUAAAUUAUGCACAAUUUCUUCUGUGGAACUGUAGAUUAUCAAUAUGUUAAACUAUUCUGUCAAUCAUAUACAUUUAAGCCAUUUUGAUAUUCUAUUAGUAUUAUCAGUAAAGGGGACUAUAACUGGUGACAUGUGAAUCAUAAAUUUGAACUUUGUUCAUCAGUCAAGUCUCUUAUUUUUUUAUUUUAUCGUUUCAGUCUAUUUAUAUACUUCUGUUUAUUGCAUUUGACAGCUUAUAGGGAAGACACCUAUGGUGUACUUGAACAACAUUGCAAAGGGUUCUACUGCAAAUAUAGCCGCCAAGCUUGAGAUGAUGGAGCCAUGUUGCAGUGUAAAGGACAGGUGAGGAAUACGGAAUUGUUAUGCCUUGAUGAUAUGUUUCUAAGUUUUAAAGCUGUAUUUUGAUUUGCUGUUUCUAUCUUAAGCUCUAUCAUUUUGAAUUUUUAGAUUAGUUCUAUCCCUGUAUUUUGUUGGUGUAUGAUUCAGAAAAGUAAUUCCUAUUAUACAGUUCAUCAUCGGUUGGUCAUGCCAGGGCACAUUAAACCUCUACUCAAGUACAAUGUUUUUACCACGUAAAUUGGAUAUGAUGCUCAAUCUAUGGUCGUGCAUUUAUAUAGUUUUACUGUUUCUCAUGAUUUGAUUCUUGCACAUUUACUUUUAUUGUUAUAUAACGGAGUAGUAACUGUAUGGUACAACUGAAUUUCUUAAGUCAGCCUUUAUUUUUCAAACUCUUAUUUCUAAAAAUUUCAUUCUUUCUUUCACAAGCUUUUCUUCACAAGCUUCAUGUAUGAUCUUCCAUAUAAACUUUUUUUAGCUAUGUGAACCAUUAGCACAUCAAUUCUCAGAAAAUCUUUCAGCAAUCAUGUUGUACCAGCCUUGUUGUGCUGUAUUAUUGAAACAUAUAUUAUUAGACGCAAGGGAGUAUUCUCACAAAGCUCUUCUGAUUUCAGGAUAGGUUACAGUAUGAUAACUGAUGCUGAGCAUCGUGGACUUAUAACACCAGGGAAGGUAACAAGAUUAUGAAUUGAACUGUUAUUCUUGUAUUGAGAAUGUAUACCGUGAAAGUGAUAUUUUCUUUUGCAUCUUGGAAUUAGCAAACAUGUAUUUAUUUUCAAAAUGUAGCAAAUGCAAUAUUCAUUUACAUAUAAACCUUUUUAGUCGGUAACCUCUGAUAUUCGCGCUAUGGUGUACCUAGUUGCAAAGACGAGCCAUUACGUUUCUAAUUAUCAACAACAUACAUGAUAUGGGAAAAUUACUAUCAAUAUGUAACACAUAUUUUGUUUGUCAGUGGCUGUUCAUUCUUCUCUAUUUUGGCCUUGAUUGAGUCAGAGUACAGAUAGGUUUUUUCUGCAGUUGGGUGUAGAGCUGUAAAUGAGCCGGGUUGCCCAUGCGCCUGCCUCGGCUGAACGAAUCCCGAUCCAAGCUUGAACCCUCUGUCUGUUUAGUUGAAUGAGCCAAGUUUUAACAAUGGGGUGUCUGGCUCGAGCUCCUGUAAAAACCUUGUUCCAUAACUAAGUUAGGACAGUAUGUGCUUGUGAUUAGCCAGCACACCCCACAAAAAAAAAAGCUGUGAAAGCAGAGGGGCACACCAAGAAGGCUUUGUAGGAAGAGAGACAGUGAAGAACAUCUUGCUUCUUAAUAAGCCUAUACUGGCAGGAAAGAAUUUUAGUGCGCAUGGCCAAUAUUCUGCGGUAUACAUAUCUAUGCAAUUGUAAAAUCUGAUGGUCCUUGUUUCGCAAACUAUGCACUUCAGCCGGAGCUUCUGAUAUCCCAGCCAUUUGGGAGCUUGAGAUUAAUGAAUUCAUCUCAGUAUGUGUAUAAAUGUGAUUUUAGUGUUGGAUCUGUUUGUUUGUCUCUUCUUCAGUGUGUUGGUGCAAUGAAAUUUAUGUAUCACAAACAUUCCAAAUCUCUACUAAGCUUUCCUAGUAAAUAUGGAAUGCCUGGUACACUAGUGCUAGUUUGUUAUGUCGAUAUCUAUUUGUUCUAAUAAUUGUCGUGUAUCAAUACUUAUCAAAAAAAUGUUUGUCAUGUAUUAAUAAGAAAAUUAUUCUCAUGUUUUUCUAGAGUAUUUUGGUGGAACCUACAGGUGGAAACACCGGCAUUGGCCUGGCAUUUAUAGCUCCUUCAAGAGGAUAUAAACUCAUCUUAACUAUGCCAGCAUCAAUGAGUCUGGAAAGAAGGGUUAUUUUGAAAGCAUUUGGAGCAGAGCUUGUUUUAACCGAAUCUGCAAAAGGCAUGAAGGGAGCAGUUCAGAAAGCUGAAGAAAUUGUAAAUAGCACAGAACAUGCUUAUAUGCUUCAACAAUUUGACAACCCUGUAAAUCCCAAGGUUCGUGUUUCAAUUUAAAAUAGCGUACCUUGUUGAGGCAUUUAACCUAUUCUAAUGUUUAUCAAUAACAUAUUUGCUCUCUGUUUCAAUGUUGUACAUGGAUCCAGUUUUCCAAAGGUACCAAAAUUGACCAGAGUAGUCAUGGUAGGAAGUAACUUCCCACCUGUCUCACACUGAUGAUUGACAUACAUAUUUAUAUGAUAUGGUGGGCAAGUUGUUUGUUGGAAUAUGUUAUUGUGUUAAUUAGUAACAUAGAAUGCUGUUUUGCUGUCCCUGAUAGGAUAAUGAGUGUCUUGCUUUUGUGUCUCUGUUAUACCCUGCAUGAAACAUGGUACCUGUGUGAUAUGUUCCAUGAAUUGGACUUGGUUGGCUUCAACAAGCAUUUCUAACUACUUUGAAACUCUACAAUACUCAAUGAUUAUCUUAAGCCUUAAAAGAUUGUUUUUUUUGGUAAUUUUUCAUAUAAAAUUAAAAAAAAAUACAUCUACUAUAUACUUUGUAUAGUAUAACAAGUAUGUAUAAUAGAAAAACAAAUAAAUGGAACCGCCUAGGAAAAUGCCUAGGCACCCCCCCCCCUCCGCUGCCUAAGUCUGCCCAGCGACUUUUUUAACACUGUUGUUUGAUGGUGCUAUUGUGAAAACAUCGCUUUUGCAAAAAGUAAAAUGCUGUAGCUGUAUGAAAUAUGUUCACAGCUACACACCCAUCACCCAUGUAUCUGAUGCUUGCAGAGUUGCAUGAUAUGCUUACAUUUUCACAUUGUUUAUGCAGUAACAUCACCCUUAAUUUUAUUUUUUUGUACAUGUAAGGUGUCAAAUACUUGUGGACCCAAUUAUAAUGUUAUUCCAGUCAAACUGCUUAAUCGCAUUAUUAUGUAUUUCAAUGAUGGGCACAGGACAAUCUGCUAUCUGUCAUUUGCUUUGGCAGUUGGGCAAUGGUUUAUCCUUUACCACAUACAUGUAAUCUGUCUUACAUUUGCGUUUCUGGUUAUGAAUUUCUUGAAUCAACUGCAACCAGUUAUGAAUGAUCAUAUGACUAGGACUAUGUGAUCAGAAUAUCUCAUUGGCUUAGUGAUCCUUGAUGAUUUCACCGGACACUGUAUGGUUCUUUCUGUCGUAUUGACAAUGAGCUGUUUCUGUCUUAUUUCUAGUAUCAUAUAUUAUUAUUACAGAAGUUAUCAUCCUUAGGUUCAUAAGUCAGCCUUUUAUAAAAAAAUUCUGUGCAGAUACACUAUGAGACAACUGGUCCUGAGAUCUGGGAGGAUACAAGAGGCAAGGUGGAUAUUUUUAUUGCGGGUAUUGGAACUGGAGGUACUAUUUCUGGGGUCGGUCAAUUUCUAAAAGAGCAAAAUCCUAAUAUUAAGGUAAUUCGUUAUCUUCUAAGCCUAUCUAGUAGGGGUGUUCAUCGGUAAAAAAUCGAACCGGUACCGAAAAACCGAAAAAACAAGAACCGGAACCGGUACUGGUACCGAAUUACCGGUUUCGGUACCGGUUUGGUACAAAAGCGGUACCGGUUUUUUCGGUUCGGUUUUCGGUUAUACCGCAUGCAUGGUAAUAUUUAUAAUUAUUAAUAAAUAAUAAUAAUUAAAUAAAUUUUUUUAAUAUAUUAACAAAAAAUUUUUAAAACUAAGAAAUCAUCUACAAUUAUAUAUCAAUUGAAGGCAGCUGAAGCUAGUCAAGACUCAAGCUAGUAAGUUACUGUGUGCAGACUUUGGGCAAUGUAUGAGUUUGAUAUCUCUUUUAGGUAUAUGUCAUUAUUCAGUUAUUUCUGGAAUAUUAGAUCUAAUAUUGAACACUGUUAGAUCAUUUUGGUGCUCUCUGUGUUGAUUAUUAUGCACUAAUAUUAAAAUGUCAUUUGUAAAAAGGGUAUGAUGCAAUGAUUUCAAAUCUGUGUUCGAAUAAGAAAAUUGACUCAUCCCUUCAUCAUGUGUAUUAACUGAUACAAAUCUGUCAUUUGUAAAAAGGGUGGAAUAGCCCAUGGGGUUAUAUACACUGAUACACAUCAUGUGUAUUAACUUGUCUUCAUGUGUGUAUUAACUUGUCUUCAUCAUGUGUAUUAACUUGUCUUCAUGUGGAGUAACUGGACCAAAGACUUGGGAAGGUUAUAUUAUGUGUCGUCAAGCAUAUAUUGUGAUAUUGGGGCAAACAUAAAAAUAAUGUAAUAUAACAACCUGUUAUACACUGUAAUGUUUAUGUAACAACUAAACUUUAGUUGUUAUGAAUACUUCACCUGUUAUACAACUAAACUAAAGUAUUCAUAAGAAUCAUAACAUUCAAAACUUCACCUGUUAUACACUGCACUGCAGCAUAUUCCCUGUGAUAAAGUAAUGCAUUACCAUCAAUUGCCUGGGGAAGAAAACUAAAUCAAAUAAAGUAAUGCAUUACCAUAUUACAUAUCCAAAUUAAAUAUCACAUAAUCAAAGCUGAAACAAGCAGUGCUGCAGUAGCCACUAGCCAGUAGGUAGUACAAAGUUCAAUCAACCAUAUUAAUUAUUACAUAUCCAACUAAUCCAAGAUUAAAAACAAACAACGCACAAGGCACAAUUCUCUCAACUAUCAAGUCUCCAGUCUCGAACAAAUCAACCAUAUUACAUAUCCAAGAUUGAUGCAUCUAAAUCGCCUGCUGAAAAUUCUGCAAUUUUUAAAAGACAAAUGUGAGCAAAUCAUAAUUUAUUAAGAAGAAUUUAAUCUACAUUACAAAAAAAUAUAUAAACAAUACAAAGUGUUACAAUGUUAUUGUGAUGUACCUUUUUCAAUUUCUUCAAGGGAUUCCAACUUUUCUUCGAUAUCAAUUGAUUCGUUGCUUCGGGGAAGCCAAUCUUGAGAACAAAUAAUUUCUUGCACCAUCCUAGGAGUUAAAGAGCUCCUAAAGGAAUCAAGGAUGCGUCCUCCUGUGCUAAAUGCCGAUUCAGAAGCCACGGUAGAAAUGGGAAUUGCUAAGACAUCUCUAGCCAUUAAUGAAAGAACAGGAAAUCUAUGAGGGUUGGAUCUCCACCAAGCUAAAAGGUUAAAUUUUUCAUCUUUUCUUUCAACUCGAUCCUUUAAAUACAUUUCUAGCUAAGUUUGAACUUCUCCACCUUGAACAUCCUCAACAUGUUCAAACAAGCUGUCAAUUUUUUUUUUUUUUCUUGACAUACUUUCUACUAUUGAUGAGCCACCACUUCGAGUUACGCUUCCACUCCCACUUGGAGUUUGAGAUGAAUGACCUUGGGACGAUAAAUGAUUGAGAUUAUAAUAAUUGAACAACUCAAAUAAUACAUCUUUAGCCCCUCUAAUCAUUUUGAUUGUCAAAUCACUUUCUUUACCAUACAUGUGAUUAAAUACAAACUCAACGAAAGUGAAUUUGUGUCUUGGAUCAAGAACCACGGCAAUGUAUAACAACUUGUUCAUUUUAUCAACAUCCCCCCAUAUUUCAUUAACUUUGAUCUCAUCCUCAUAGCCAUUUCUCUCAUUUGAUAAUCAUCAUCAUCUUCCAUUUCUUUCAAAAGACCAUCAACUUCCACAAACUCAUGAACAAAUCCAUUGGAUGUAACAUAUAAUGUGCCAGAGAUUCUAAGUGUUAAUUCAUAGAAGUGUUUCAAAAACAAAACAAUUCUUCUCACAUUACCCCAAUCCUCCACCGUUGGCCACCCUUCACCUGAGAUCAUUUCUUGUUUAAACAAAGGAUCCCUACUCCCAAGCCUAUUAAAAGCACGUUCAAAAUGUUGAGCAACAUUCAACAUUGAAUAAGUGGAGUUCCAUCUAGUAACAACAUCUAGGAUUAAUGAAGAUUUAUUUUCAAUUUUUUCAAACUCAAUACACUCCUUGAACUUUCUAAUCCUAGAUGGAAAUUGCCUUACCCACCUAAUCAAUGCCCGAACACGAGCUACCGAAAUAUUAACAUCUUUCAACCCAUCAACUACGACCAAGUUUAAAAUAUGAGCAACACAUCGAACAUGAAUGAAUUUAUUCUCACAAACACUAUGUCCCCAUACUUGCAAUUGAUUUUUUAAAUAAGAUAUCGCAACAUUAUUUGAACUGGCAUUAUCAACAGUUAUAGUAAAAACUCUCUUAAUCCCCCAUUCUAUCAAACAAUUCUCAAUUGCCAUUCCAAUGGCCUCACCCUUGUGACUCAAAAUUGGAACAAAGUUUAUAAUUUUUUCUCAAUUUCCAUUUAUCAUCAAUGUAAUGAGCUGUCACAACCAUAUAAUUAAGUCUAUGCAUUGAUGUCCAUGUGUCAGUUGUAAUACAUAUCCUUUGAGAAGAUGAGUUAAAAAUAGAUUUUAACUUCUUUUUCUCUUCCAUAUAUAUUUUAAAACAAUCUCUUGUAAUUGUGUGACGUGAAGGAACAUUGAACCUAGGACAUGCGAUGGACACAAAAUGUCGAAAUCUCUCAUUUUCGACAAAUUUAAAAGGAAGUUCAUCAACUAGAAUCAUAUAUGCUAAAGCAGCCCGAGUUAGUUCCACUUCAAACUUCCAAAGACAAUUAUUUGUUGACUCCCCUUCCAUGGUCUCAUCAUCAUUAUUAGCACUUGUAGAUUUAAAGUUUAAGAUUGCUUGAUUUCUUAACUCCACAUUUGGGGGGUAAAUUUUACAUCUCCUAUUGUGAGCAUUUAGACCACUAGUCCCAUUAUCUUUUGGAUCAGCACUUAAAAUAGCUCCACAAUAUUUGCAUUUAGCUUUAAUUUGACCAUUUUGCUUAAAUCUUGUAUAAUGAGCCCAAAUUUUAGCACAAGUCUUACCGGCAUCAAGUUGCUCAAUUUCACCUUCAUUCAACUCCUCUUCAUCAAUAUGAAUUGGAUUUUCAGCAUUCGAUUCCACGUUGAUGGGUGCCUCAGACUGCUGCUCAGCCAUUAUAACCUACACAUGUCAAAACAACCAUAAUUACUACAAUGAAUUGACAAACCAUCUUCUCACAGUAGACAGUACUGUAAUUGCAUGAUGUUUAAUAUACAGGGUGUAGAAUUUGGGAUUUGGUUCCUGUAUUUCCACCAGAUGACCCAUAAAUUAGUGCAUUAUCAUCUACCAGCAAAAUUGUGGAUACCAAUAUCCAAAAAAAUAUUAGUAAUUCAACAGCUCACAAAUAAUAUUAUUUGGACCCAAGGGACACAAAAUGACAGAAGCAUAAUCUCCUUUCAAAACCAUCAAAAUAUUCAAAGACAAUAGACGACCGGUUUCAUCGAUGAAGAUGUUACUCUUGUAGCAUACAUUGUGGAGAGAGUGAGAGACUAGUAUUUAUGUUGUGAGCAAUAUUACAAAAUAAGGGCUGCAGAUUCAAUAAAUAGUACUGUAUAACAUAAUGGUUUAUAUAUAUAUAUAUAUGCCUUUACACCAACUGGACUACAAGUCAAUAAGUCAUAUUCACACAAACAUCGUAUUUUAAUGUGCUGAAUGGUGGGGUUUUUUUUCACGGUAUAAACUUAACCACCGCUCACCGGCACCGGGGACUGUUCCGAAUCUCUUGGACUCGAAAGUCGAAACACCUAGUAUACUGUAUACAGAUCUCAGAGUGUAGAAAACUCAAAUCAGAUACUGUAUAGUGUAUAUGAUGUAUAUGAUGUGUACAGAACUACAGAUCUAAUGACUUACCGUCGGCGCUAGUCGGAGAAGCUUUAAUGGAGGAGAAGCUUCAAUGGAGGAGAAAUCAUUAGUGAAGAACGGGUAGAACUUAGAAGACUGAAGAAGAAGGGAGAUUGAAGACUGAAAUUGAAAGAGUAAAGUAGCUCUAUGCCUCUGUAGAAUUAAAAGAGAGAGAGAGAGACUGAGAGUCUGAGAGAGUAAAUAAAGUACUUUAAGUAUUAAUUAGAGACUUUCGGUUUUUUUCGGUUUUACCGAAUUCGAAAUUUCUAUUACCGCUACCGGUACCGAAAAGUAUAAAAAAACCGAAAAACCGGUACCGAAAAAAUCGAAACCGAAAAAAACCAGUACCGCCGGUACCGGUUUCAACCGGUUCGGUAAAAAAACCGAAAAACCGAUUUUUUUGAGCACCCCUACUAUCUAGUAGCUUCAUGUACGAAUGACAUUUGUUUCAUACAUCAUGAGGACUAACUGAACCUAUACAGUUGUCUACAAUAUAUUAUGAAAAUUCUGAAGUUGUAAUACAUGCCAACUUUUACGUUGGACGCCAAAUGUAACACCCCAGUCUCACAUCUAAAGCGAGAAAAAUUUGUCCGUAUAUAAGGAAUUAAAUUACUAACAAUAGUACCUUCAGUCAUGAUAUUUUGGGCUCAUAUGACCCAAAAAGAUAUUAUUUGGCUAGUAAUUUAAGGCCUUGUUUGGAUGGAUUCAAUUCGAUUCGGACUUGAGAUUUGACCAAAUUUAUUCCAGACUUGGGAUUUAACCUGGGUUGUUUCACCAAACUUGAAUGAUUGGUAUUUCUAUCUCAUCCCUGAUCCAUUUUCUUGUUCUUUUCAUAUUUUAUCAGGUUAUUGGUAUCGAACCUACAGAAAGCAACAUACUAUCAGGUGGAAAGCCUGGUAAGGUUACCUAAUAUUUUCUUUUCGUUUUUUAUUUCAAAAGAAUGUCUGUUGUAUCUUGUUCUAUUUAUGCCAUUUGAUAAUGCAGGUCCUCACAAUAUUGAAGGGAUUGGAGCAGGAUUUAUACCAAGGAAUUUGGACCAAAGUGUGGUCAAUGAAGUUAUACAGGUCUAACUCUUUUUUCCAUUAUAUUUUGGUCUAUUUGGUCUUGAUAUGUAUGUCUCUUUGGUCUUGAUAUGUAUGUUUAAUUUCUGUGUUUUCAUGUUUUAUAAGUGAUGCUUUCCCCCAAAAGAAACCUGAGACAUUCUUUCAGGCGACCUGAGUGAUUUUAGAAACAUUGUGUUACUAUAAUGACAUCCUGGAAAUUACAACACAUGUUUCUCAUUUUCUGAAUUCAUCUCUGAAUUGCAUAACUGCAGUUCGAGUACAAAAUCUGUUAAGAGUUAUCACCUGCUUAUGUGAGGGGCUGAGAGGGUUGAUUAGGCAUAAUAACCAAGAAAAUGAGUGCUCAUGCUAACAAGUGCAAGUUUUUUAAAAUUUCUUUAUUAGUUCCUCGUUUGUAACUUAACAUCAAUAAAUGUGUUUGCAAAUGCAAAUAUAGGAUACUCGUAUAUUAUCUAGACGCAUGCACAACUCUGAGUCUCACGAGCAUAAUUUCCUUUAUUGUUUGGAUGCCAAAGCCUCGUGGAUUUAUUUUCGGUGAUAUGUUCCAAAUCCUGAUCUAGAUUCAUGCUUAUGUCACUCAUAAACUUUCAAUCGUGUAAUUUUAAUAUCUUGUUUAUGCUGAUUUUUGUUUACCUUUCAGAUUUCAAGUGACGAAGCUGUUGAAACUGCAAAACAAGUAGCUCUGCAAGAAGGCUUGUUGGUCAGUUUCUAAAGUUACUAGAAUAUUUUAGAUGGCUAUUUGAAUAUGAGAUCUUUACGAGUUUGGUCGUUUGAUUUAUGUUAUCAUAAUUACUUUCAAUUGUUGUCAUGGCUAAAAAGACUAAUCUUUUCAUGUAGUCUGGUAUUAGGGUAUAGCUUUUGUAAAUUGGCAUGCACCCUCAAAAGCUGCAAACAAUUAUAGGCUAGAACUUUUGACAUAGAGCUGAAAAAAAAACAUGCUGUUUAGUGCUUUACCUUUUUCCAUGAUCCUCUAAUUGAUACAGCACUAGACAUCCUUAUGUUUACCCCUCACUUCAAUAUUCAAUGGUUUAAGCAUAUUCCUUGCAGAGGAUGGGCUUUCUGGUUACUGCAUGUGCUCAGUUUUGAAUUUUGUCUAAUGGCAGAUGUACUUGUCGUGGCAUGUAACCUGAGUUUCAGUUUGGUACUCCUUCCGUCCCACAAUAGAUGUCUUUACUUUUGGGUUAAAUGUUUUUUCAUUACUCUACUUUAGGUCAAUUUACAUUACAGUCAACUAACUAAACUUUUUUUUCCUUACCUUCAGCUAACUAAACUUUACUUUUCUUACAAAUCCUUAGAAAAACCGUUAAGUUCUUUACUUUAAACAGAAAUAUAUACAUAAGCAACUGACUUGUAAAAAAAGCUUAUAUGGAUCUGGAGGAAAAAAUUUAUGGAGAAAGUGAAAGAAUUAUUUGAAAGUAUAAUAUUAAUUAAAAAAUUAGCCAAAAAAACAAGAAAAUAAAUGAAAAAUAUAUUUAAUUAUUUUUGUAAUUAAUAUCAAAUGAAUUUUUAUUUAAUUAUUGAUAAAUAUAAUUAAAGAAAUUAUAAAACAUAAAAACUAAAAAUAUGCUAAUUAAAAUAAAAUAUCCUUUCAAAACAAAUUCAAACCGACUUUAUUACAAUUAUUGGGAUUCACCUUCUCAUGCUCAUCCCUUGUUCGUACUCUGUUUCUAUGAGAUGUUUAUGGGAGUUGGAGAAAAUUUAAAAGCUCCGACAUAAAUGAAUUUUUGAGUGAGCGAAUUUGAUUUGCAUUGUUGGAAUAAUAUAAACCUAAUUCAUUGCCCCCAAAUCCGUAGAUCUUGGUGCUGACAACUAGAGACACCACAGAUUGGCCAAAAGGAGCACCAUUUAAUAACUAAUCAAGAAACUUACCGCAUGGAAUUUGCCGCUGGUCCGGGAACAGUGAACAUCGCAACAGCUGUGUUGUUGAUCAUCGGACCAAAGUUUUUCUUUAGAAUUAUUAUUUUCCGUAUAUAUGAGGUACUCUCGUUCGGAUCCUGUGAUUUUAUACUAUUUGAUUGCCACUUUAACACCUUUGAAUUGGAGCCUUGCUUGCACAUAUAUGGAGUUACCAUCAUCAUCAUCAUCGGUUUCCAUCUUGGAGAUUUAGGAACACUUUUAAUUAGGGUUUCUUUUGGGUUAUAUGAUGAGGCUAGGGGUGACAAUCUGUUGUCAAAACCCAAACCAAUGACUAUCUGGGUUUCAAAACCCGAAAUCAAUUAAAUAAUUAGACACAAAUCAAUCCUUUUUUUUCUUGGCAAUUGAAAGACGUAUAUGCAGAAAAUUAGAAGAAGAUGAAAAAAUAUUCAAAGAUAUACCUUUUUUGAUUUCAGAUUUAUUAUUUAUUAUGAUGAUAGUAGUUGGGUCAGGUUGGGUCGGAUAUUUUAAGUUUGGGUGGAUACGCUUGUUUUUAUAGCUGUGUUAUAGAUAAUGUGUAAAAGACUAUUAAAAGAACAUUCCGGCUAAGAUUCACUCACUGCGUAUGUGGCACUUCCAUGUCAAACUUCCGCUAAAAAGUUUAACACCAAUGACGGAAAUUCGAAUUUUUGUAAAAAAACAAUAGUUGAGUUAGUUGAAUGUAAGAAAAAAAGUAUAGUUAGUCAUUUUUAAGUUGACCUACAGUACAGUGAUGUAAAAAUCAUUUUAACUCCUUUACUUUUUUGAGUGAGUUCAACAUGUAUUUUAAGAUGUAUUGAAGACAUUUUUAUACCAUAUAUUUUCUUUAUAUUUCUUAAUUUAAUACACGUGUAAAUUAUAUUUCUAGUUAUAGUUACAUUAACGAUAUUGAAAAAUUUAGUGUAUAAAUUGGUUUUCGGCAAGCCAUAAUUUCCGCACUGGAAGCAGCCAAAAAAGGAAAUAUCAUUUGCAAGGAUGGCACUAGUAGUAUUAUUAUAUCACAUGCAGUUGUUUUAGCAAUUCUUCGCUUGCUCUUGUUUAUGCAGCUAUUAGUCUCUGUAUUUAUGUGUUUCUAAUCAUGCUUUAUAAUUAUUUGUAAGCCAUUUGUCUCCUCUCCCCNNNNNNNNNNNNNNNNNNNNNNNNNNNNNNNNNNNNNNNNNNNNNNNNNNNNNNNNNNNNNNNNNNNNNNNNNNNNNNNNNNNNNNNNNNNNNNNNNNNNNNNNNNNNNNNNNNNNNNNNNNNNNNNNNNNNNNNNNNNNNNNNNNNNNNNNNNNNNNNNNNNNNNNNNNNNNNNNNNNNNNNNNNNNNNNNNNNNNNNNNNNNNNNNNNNNNNNNNNNNNNNNNNNNNNNNNNNNNNNNNNNNNNNNNNNNNNNNNNNNNNNNNNNNNNNNNNNNNNNNNNNNNNNNNNNNNNNNNNNNNNNNNNNNNNNNNNNNNNNNNNNNNNNNNNNNNNNNNNCACCAAUUUAUUUUUUAAUAUCCUAAUCCUAUCCCUGGGAUCUCUGUCUCUUAUCAGGUGGGUAUUUCUUCUGGAGCAGCAGCAGCUGCUGCCAUCAAGGUCGGAAAGAGACCUGAAAAUGCAGGAAAGCUUAUUGCGGUAUGUAUCUUUGUAUUGUGUACAUUUUCAUUGAUAUUUCAUUUUGCUGUAUUGGGGCAUAUUUUUAUCAGUUUUUAAGGGAAUUUGAUCAAUUUUCACCACAGCAAAUUAUGGUGCUCUCGCCUUAUUAUUUUCCUUGUAGCACCUUUAACUGAGUUUUUAGUCACUACUUUCACUAUGCAACCUUAGGUUUUCAGUGCAUCACCUUAGGUUUUCAGUGCAUCACCUUAGGUAAAUAGUUUACUGCGUCUGUAGCUUUCUCCAUCUUAAAACUUGAGCAUUGUCAGCCUAGCUUCUGCAGAUGCAAUUUGUAAUUUAAUUUCAUUGUAAUGUAUACUUACUAAGUUACUAUUGCUGAUUCUUAGCAAGGUAAGUGUACCAUUUGCAUAUCACGGUUUAUAUGGAAAGAAGUGUAGCAUUUUUAGUUUACAUAUUCGCCUGGCCGCUAAUUAAAUACCCCUUUACGGUCAUCAAACUUAACUGCAUUUGAGAGACUAGUCUCUCGGGAGGUUUUGGUUGGUAUGGUUAACAUGAAUUUGAUCUGGUUGGUAAAUUUCUUCUGCCAAACUGUAUUAACUUGCACAUCAUCCGUCCCAUUUUAUGUAGCCACUUCAAAUGGAGUUUAAGUUCUGAAAAAUUAGAUCAUUGAAUUCCGCAAUUGCCUCUUAGCUUAAUUAUGAUAGAUCGACGAGCUUUAUCAUUUUGUAUACGCAUAAUUUAGGUACUCAUACAAAAAGACACUUUGGUUUUGAGAAGUGACCAACAUUUUGGGACACCCAAAAGAUGGUAUGGAGGAAGCAUUUCAUUUUGGCCUCUUCUGCUUUUAUGUUGUUCAUGAGAGGGGGUCUCUGCUCCUGAUCUUGGAUGAACUUUUUUGUUGAUUGUUGCCAAGGCAGUUACAAAUGGAUCUCUCCAAUCAGCUAGCUCUUGCAAUCACCAAACCUUUUCCAUGCUCUAAAGUUCCUAAAGAAGUCGGAUUCUUGGAUCAGCAAUAUAGUAACCUAUUCCAAAUUUGUUACAACCAUCUUACAUUAUUUUUAUUAGCACUUUGAGGCUAGCAAAGAAGUUGAAUGGACCAUGGCAGUUUGAUAAAUAUAUUGGAGAUGUCUCUUUGUUAUAUACUUGCUUGAUAUUGUAAUUGUAAAUGGUUGCAGGUACUGUUUCCAAGCUGUGGUGAACGUUACCUGUCCACCGUUCUUUUCCAGUCAAUCCGAGAAGAGUGCGAGAAAAUGCAACCUGUGCCGUGAAAUAUUCUGCUGUUUUGAAGCCACUGACUGAUAACAAAACAUUGUUAGUAGCUUUCAUUGUGCUUUAUCUGGUGUACGCCAUGGGUGUUUUGAGUUUUGUUUUAAUUGUAUGGAUGUUUUGUUUGUUUUAACCGGUAAAAAUGUUUGUUUGUUACUGCAAGAAAUGGCGUAAUUAAUGUUUGUAUUUAUGUUUUUGUUGUGUGGAAAAAAUCAGUCACAUUAACGUUAAAAUUCUAAAAAUGACAGGCAAUUUAAGAAUAUGAAUGCAAUUUUUACUUGAAAAAA
rnacentral:lncRNA from 1 species